rnacentral:lncRNA from 1 species
UUCAGCCAGAGAUCCCAGAACCAGCCGCUGUCCCCUGGCAAAAGAGGCCCAGUGCUGAGCCCUGGGCAAGUGUCUGCAGACAUCUCCUCCUCCCCUAUAAGUUUCCCUUACCAACAGAAAUCAUUUCCCCUUGCCACCAAAACUAGGUUGCAUCCAAAAGUUUCUCACAAGCUUUAAAGAGAAAAACGAAAAAUUGACAACUGUUACACAGAAGAGCUCACAAAUCCGCAGCAGCACCAGGGGGUGAAGAAGCAGCGACAGACCCAGGUAAGACCCCAGAGAAGUGAAGAUGUCUGGGGCCUCCCAGGCCUAUCACUUAGGGGUUCAAAUCUCUUUCAGGUGCUCCAUGUUUGCAGGGCGCUUGUGGUUGGGUACAGUCUGAUGAGUGUGGAGGAUGCUUGGUAGUUUUGGGUUCUGAUUUGUUUCCAAGAAAAAGGAAAUUGAGAAAGGAGUAAUGGUGGGGUGGGGUAAACCAAAAGAAAAGAAAGAAUGAGCAACAGAGACAUCCUGGAAGGGCUUACUGGGUGCUCAGUGUAUGUGGCUUUGACUGUGCUCCCAGGCCUUUGAGCCCUGGGCAGGAUGGCUGACACUCCCUGAAACACUGCUUCUUGUCCAGCCUGUGUCGAAGUCACCGCACACCUUCCCUGGGUGAACUUUAAGGGAGCCUUUUAGAAAAAGAGACUGGUAGAUCUGGGUGUAUGGGACAUCUGGCUUCUCUCAGCACACUCAUCCACUAUCUUUGAUUUUAGAAGUGCCAAUCUUUUAACUCUCAGGUAGAAGAGUAGAGGGAGGAAGUGAGAAAGAUACAUGCAUUUUAUUCACUUUCCCUUUUCCCAGCCAGUCUGUGCCAUGGUAUUGAGAGGGGCUUUAAAGUAUCCUGAGAAGUUUCUGAUACUAUCAAAAUGGGCCAAACACUUCUUAGACUUUGGUACUUACCUCUCCCUAAACUCUCUUUCUUCUCUCUCUCCCACACUGAAAGGUAAAUGACAGGCCAAUUGCAUUCACCUCAAAAUCUGGUUUGAGGAACUAGAAAGAAGUGAAAGCCUCCUGCAUCAACAGGACUAUUUGAUAUUUCAGAAUUACUAAAGAUCUCCUCCCCAGAUCGUUUAUUCCCUGCCAUCUUGGGGGGGGGGGGAGUUUCUUUUCUGACAGAUAGUUUGUUGAUUUCAAGAAGGUAUGUCGGUACUUCAGGAGACUGAAAUUUUCAAAACCUAGUUGUAUAUUUAAAAAAUUAAACAAAUUACCCAGUUGGAGCCUUUCACUGACCUUCACAGACGACUUGACAUCUCAAGUAUCUAUCAAUAUUGAUUUUCUUUUAACCUUCUCCCUUCUAAAGAAACUCAGUGACAGGUUGCAAAUCCUGGGCAGUUUAGGGAAAGGUUUCUUGGAGCUUAACAAAGCUGUCAUUUUCAAUACACCCGAUGACUUUUUUUUUUUUUUUAGCUCUUGCAUGUGAUUUGAGGGGAGGCUCAGCAACCACACACCCUGGCUGCAUCGCCAAUAUCAAUAUUUUAAAACUAAAUACAAAAGAGACAGAUGACCUCCUGACCCCAGGAAACAGGCCUGCAAGACUGCAAGUAUCCACCACACCAUGCCCAGGGACCUUUCCUUCUUCCAAAUGAACCACAAAAAUCAUACAUGUGUAGCCCGGAAAACACAAUUUUAUGUCCACAAGCAGGAACACCAAAAAUCCACUCAAAAACACAUAUAUAAACAACCAACAAGUACUGAGAUUGCCUGCACUUGAUGGGGAUUGCAAAAUCAUGCCCAGCUCUCUCAGCCCUGAAACUACUACUGUCAAAUUAGGGUAGCAAUUUUUCCCUCCUAGAAAAUUCACAACUGGUUAGCUCCCCCACCCCCUUUGCCGCUUUGCCUUUCACUGAAACGAAUAAAUAACCAUGGACUUUUCUUCCCUCCUCUGGGAGCUGUUUGGUGUCCCCUGAGGACAAAACUAAAUGAGAAAAAUGACGCUGUUAAUAAUGUCGCUGCUGAAAUGCCUGUACUCGACUGUUAAAAAAAAAAAAUACCAUCCCACUAAGUGUGCUUACAUUUCGGGCACAUUUACAAGCUACGACUGAAUCUGAACAGCGACUGGGCCAGAUUCCUCUAUUAAGGUUAGCCGGUUUCCACUUCUCUACAGAGAUGGGGCCAGUUCAUCAACAGAGGUUCCCAACUUCUGAAGACAUUUGCUCCCGGAUUACAAAGUCAGCAGGUGCCUGUAACUUUUGCGUGGUUUAUUUUAAACCUUGAAAAUCACGUCAAUUUGCUUCACUCACAACACUUCAAAAGUUACGUACGCUCUCAACACAGAGUGUCUCCUCUGUGAUACUGAGAGGGUUAUAGUUAUUGUCCUUUUUCAAAAUAGCUGACUUUUAAGUAAAACUAUACUAUCAUUUGAGUUCUAUGUAUAGACUUUUUUUUUUGUUACCCAUCUACAUACACUUUUUUGACAUAGAAACAGAUCGGUUUUAAGGAGAGGUUUAAAAAGCUUUAUCCAAAAUAGCCAAGUAGUCUUUAUAGUCUGUAUUAAGAAGUAUAGAAGGUGUAUUCAAACCAACUCAAACUUUCUGCACCCCUUUCUCUAAUUCGUCCUUUGAAACCUCCAUCCUGUUUCAAAAUCAAAAUAAUGCAUAACAACAGAACUGUGUGCAUUUUAACUUUCAAAUUAAAAUUUGACAAACAAUUGUGCAAUUACAAAGAGAAAAGACAAAACAAUUUGGCCUACACAAAAUAUAUGUCCAGUAAACCUUAUCUCUGAAAUAUUUUAACAACACAGCAUGUUAACAAAUUUCAAAGCAAUAAUAUUGUCAAAUUGUGUGAUGUCACAAACUCUAAAAACAAAGUUACAGAUGCUCAUGACAUCAUAUUCACUCAUAACUAUGCUGCUGCUCAGUCUGAUCAUAUUAAAAUUAAAUAGAUGUCUACGUCUGCUCAAGAAUAAAAGGAAUUUAUUUUGGACAUCGAACAAUGAAACUGUCACCAUUUAUUGUAUGAAACACUCAGCUAAUCAAUUUCCUAUUAAAACAGCUUUCAACAAUACUCAGCUUUAAAAUUCAUCGGGGCCAGUAAAAACCUUUUCCCAGUGCACAAGAAUGCAGUCCCAACCACGACGAUAAUUACCCUUCUAAUACUUUUAUUGCCCAAGCACUUUUUCCUGUGCUCCCCAUCAGUUAGGCGAGAAUCUGCAGUAUAUUGUAUCAGUGAGUUGGAGUGCUUGACCUUUGCGCACAUAUGAUUUAAUAGGGACUUUUCAGCGCUGGAGCUUUCUCCAUCUCUCAUACCAUUAAAUGAAAACAUCAAACCUCAAAUGUAAAACUGGAAACCACAACGUUUUGUGUUUCACAACUCUUUGCAGUUUUUACUUAGGCUGCUUAAAGGUCAGCUUCUUAGCCUCCCAGUUCUCUCCCCCAUAGAGUAAAGGUACUCAAAAGUCACACUAAUUCUGAUUUUGAUUAAAUCUUGGACUCCCCAGUCAGAUACACACAUGCACUCUGCUUAUUUACACGUGCAUUCUUUUUCUAACCACACAAGCGUGCGUGUAUGGUUUGCUGGAUUUAUUCCAUUUUAGAGCUGAUUUAAAUGUCUGUUCAAGUCUGGGUUCAAAUGUUAACUUUUUCCCGCCUGUUGGAAAAUUAAAAUUACAAAAGAUGGUGCUAUAAGAUUCAUUCAAAGAAAGUUAGAGUUAAUCUUGUGUAUUUUGGCGCCUUUUCCCUGCCAGCUACUGUACUGGAGGGGGGGGAGGGGGGGGAGGGGGGGAAGGGAGGGGCGGGACUUGGAGAUCUUGUCUGUCCCGUCUCAAGUUCAAUGGCAGUUCUUCUAACCGGAGGAGAAGAUGGCCAUGUUCACAGCCCUAAUAAUAAUUCCAAUCACACCACUUCGGCAUCUUGUGUCAAAGUCGAAACUGGCUUCCCCGCCCCCUUCAACCUGAAAGCUGCCAAGUCCUCACACACUCCGCAUUCAACCACAACUUAAUGGAUGGGAUAUUGUGCAUUAAAAUGUGUCCCAGACGUACUGGCGAAGAGAGCACAAGGGAAAAGGGAGGCGCACGCGCGCGCACACACUCCCACACACACACACACACACACACACACACACACACACACACACUUAGGCAGAGGGGCAAAAAAUCCUAGAGCAAAAACAGCGGGGCUUAAAAAAAAAGUACUAGGAGCGGGAAGAAAUCCAUCAUAAUCUUUUUUAAACGGGGAGGGAGGUGAAGAAGGAGGGCUAACAAUUCGAUCCUGCCACUUCAGGGACCAGGUGGGGGAUACUAAGCUUGGGAACAAAUAUUGAUUUUAAAAACAACACACCAAUCAGAGCUAAAUAAAUACUACUACCCUCACUUAUUUUUUAAAAGUGCACUUUUAAAUGAGAAUAUGUUACAAAGCCCAUAUUCACCUUAAAGCGAAGGAAAAGGACUGCAAAAAGAAUGGGCUACGGGGUACAACUAAAGUAUCACUUACAGUAAUUUUUCCAGCAUUAGGAGGAGGAGGAGAAAGAGGAGGAAAUAAGAAAUGAAGCAGGGAAAAGGCUACAUUUUACACUAUUUGGGCUGACAAUGUUAUCCAGUGAUUCCCACCAUCAAAGUGUGACACAUUAAUACUAAAGUUACUAAAGCUAUAAUAUAUAUUAUAUACAUGUAUGUGUAAUGAUACAUAUAGUAUAUAUAUGAUAUACAAAUGAUAUAUAUAUACACUAUAUAUAUAUAUAUAUAUAUAUACACUAUAUGUAUCAUUACACACACAUACACACACACACACAAUUGCUUUGGUCUAGGCUCAACCUGUAAAGCAGAAAUGACAUUUAGAUAAAACAGUCACUUCACAACGCACAUACAGGAAAAACAAAUUGUGUCUGGAGUGGAAGGGGGUGCAAGGGACGAACAAGACGAGCAAAUAAAACCCAUCAUUUCAAAGCCACAUACCAUUGCACUGUUUUGCAUUAAAUAAAAUGGAUCUUGAGUCUGCAACAGAACCCUGGGCCGUUGACUUCACGUGUCUCAGGUACAGAUUUGUGGAUUUUCUCAAGGGUUGUUUGGGUGUCGCUUUUUGUAUUUGGUUAAAAAAAAAAAAAGGCAAUCCUGGAGUAGUCUUUUAUUUUUUAAAUUAUUGUUUCUGCAAUGCCCCAAUUCUUGGCCUUAGAAGAAAAGGCGGUAAAAGUCAAGUCUAAAAGCAAGCAGCCCCCUCAGUCUGGAUAUCCAGUUUUCCUUCCUCUCACUUGCAGAAGACUGUUUCUCGUGGUUGACUUGAACGCCGUCCAGAGAGAGAGAGCGUGUGGUGUGUGUGUGUGUGUGUGUGUGUGUGUGUGUUUGGUGGGUUUUAUUGUUGUUUUAGCAGGGCUGCUCUAGAGGUGGGGGCAGCCUCCCCUCCCCGGCUUCGGGCGCGCUCCGCAGGGGCAGCGGGCGCGGCCGCGGGGUCGCGCGCUCGCCCCUUCCCCGCCCUUGGAUUGGCCUGGCCAGCAGCGGAGCUGCCCCGGAACCGCCACCCACCCGCGCACCCUUUCCGCGCCCGGGCCGCGCUCGUCCCGCCGCCGCCUCCCAGCCUUUUUCUUUCUCCGGCUCGCUGGCCGCGCGGCCCCGCCCCGCCCCGGCCGCCCCGGCGCGCGGGAAGCGCGGCUCUUCGCUUCCGCCUGGCGGCGGGAAGGAAGCCGAAAGGAGGAGCCGGGGGCGGGCGCGCGGCGAUGCAUAUUCAUCAGGGAGCCCGCGGCGGCGGAGGCGGGAGCGGGCCCGAGUGGGUGUGGCGGCCUGCGCGGCGCGGGCGCCCCUCGCGAGUGGCGGCUCUGCUCUUUGUGCGGCCCGGGAGGGGCAGGAGCGCGGGGAGGGCGGGCGAGGAGGGCGGCGCCGCCUGUCUGCGGGGCCGCGCCGCUCCGCGCGCCUUUGUGCUCCCGGGGUCACGGGGCCUCCCCGCCGGCUUGCGGGAGGGGAGAGCGGGGCCGAGCUGCCGCGCGAGAGUCUCCACCAAAUAACAGUGAUGAUUACGGAAUCGGUGUUACUCCCCUAUUUCCCGCCACGUUGCUCGGUCAACUUCGCAAGGCCGCGUUUGUUUCCGUGUGAGAGGAGUUCUGAAAUGUUCCUCCCGGUCAAGCGUUAUCAUUACAGCAAAACCACCAGAAGGAGAGCACUCUUGACUUCUAUUUAUAUGCAUCCAUGUGAAUGUCAAUAAUCUAGGGGUGGGUGGGAGAAAUAAUCAGCACCAAAGAAAUACACAACCCUUGGGUCCCUGGGAGUAAACGCUCUUGGUGAGGUUCGGUAGACAGUUCAUGUUCAUAAACAAAGUGGUUUUGAUCAGUAUUUUUCAGGUUAAAGGUACGUAGUGUUUCUGUGUAGUUUUUAAGUAAUCCGGUUAUUUUCAUUUUAGGCAUCUGUGGUGUGGUAAAAGAAUGCUUAACGGUGAGAUUAAAUUAUUAUGUAAUCCUGAUUUAAAAUCGAAGUAUUAGAAGUAAAAAUAUAACGUUAGCCCUAAAUUUACAUGGUACUAACCCACGUGUGUUUAGAAAAGAUUUUAUUACAGAGAUUUUGACUAAUUAUGUAAUUGCACAACAGACAAUAGCUUCAAAUAUCCUCUAAAAUCCCUGUUCAAUUAUGUGAUUACCAGUGGGACCGGAAUAGCUCCCGAUGAAUUGUUCUUAUCUUUCCACUAAAUGUGAGCAUGGCAGUAUUUUAAUCCCAGUUGUGUUUACCCUCAAAGUCCAAGAGAACUUAAACAACAUUGUGCAGGUUCUUAGUUUCUACAAUACACAUUAUGAAACAAGAAAGAUAUUUUGACCUCGUUAAAAAAAACCAGAUUUUUUUUUUUAAUAUCUGCAUGUAUAUAUACAGACACACUAUAUAAAUGUUUGGCUAUUUUCAAUGAUAGUAAGUGGAAAACUAGAAAUUAUUUUGACCCAUUUGGACUUCAGGAAAUGCCAAAUAUAAAAAUAGGUUAUUGGUUUAAUGGUUCCCAAUUUCUCCUCUGAAAAAAACUAACCCAGUAUGUAUCUAAACAGCUUUGGGAAGGGAGUUGAGGUUGGGGAUACCCGUAUGUACACAUACACAUGUGCAUGUAUAUAUCUCUACAUUCAGCUAUAACUUCCCAAGGAAAAUUAAUUUUUAACAUCUUUUUCCAAGAUAGGUAAUUUUAACCCCUCGGCUAGUGUACCUAUAACUCAGUCUGCUCAGGCAGUCAAUUCAAGUGUGUAACAAACAGAUCUGUUUCCAUUCUAGCAUUUCCUAAUAGUAGUUUCAUGGUUAAGUAAGUCACGUUUAGCACGAAGUAGCCAAAUAUGAAAUAUGAAAAUUCAAUGCAGCUAAACUUUAAAAAAUCAUUGAGAGUGCAAAGGGAGUGUUUAAAUGGGCAGUGUUACCAAAUUCUAAAACUUCUGUAAGUGUGCCUUAGAAAGUCUUUUGCAAUUAUUUGAAGUCCAUAGCGGAGUUAACCAAUCCUUCCCAUCAUCUAUUUCAUGCAAGGAAGAAAUUACAUUGCAGGAAGAAUCCAAUUUUGUUUAGGAAAUAUCCGAAGAUAUGAAAUGGAGAAAGGACUAAAAAAGGGGAAAGGGAAGGAUUCCACAUGCUUCUAGUGAUGAUUUGAAUGAAUCUGAAGUUAGUGUCACCUGUCAGAGGCUUUUUGCCUAAGCGUAUUAUUUAUAUUUAGUAAUAGAAUGUACCAUUGUAUGUCAUGUUCAGUCUUUCAUAGGUUAUCUUUUUUUAUUUGCGUGUCAUUUGUUUCUUCUGACCUGUGAAGUUUACAGUACUUACUCCUCUACUCAUUACCCCUGUUUGUCAAAUAUGUACACAUAUCAUAAUUAAAUGAUAUCCAGUGCUUAUGAAAUAAGGAUACUGAUUUUCAAUCAUGUCUUAAGAGAAAUCGGACUCACUAAUUUGUAAUCACCUCAACAGUUUGUUGCUCCUAAGUCUCUUAUUUGGCUAAUGAUAAUGGUCUUCUAACCUACAAUAUUGGUUGAAUUUCCAGUUUUCGUAUUUUGCAUUACAAACAGAUCUAGAGAAGUUAGGGAGUGCUUUUUUAAAAUUAAAGUUAUCUUGGUUAAAAACCUUGCCUAGAAUGUAAUUGAGGUUGACUAUCUUUUUAUAUUCAUUUUUUUUGGAAAUUAUAACUACUCACGUUUUAAACAUAAGGACUGUCCAAUGUUACAUAGGCGUUUUGGCCUUUUGACGCUCCUAACUGAAGUGAUUCCAGUAGAAAAGCUAAUUUUUUUGUGCCUUCAGUUGCAGGCACAAUCCAUUCCUUAGAACUUACUAGAAGAUUCGCAAGCACACUGACACUUUAGAUUUUCUGGUUCUUCUUAAAGCCAAUUAACUGGUAAUUCAGUUUCUGUAUGUGUUCUUCAAAUUAAGAAUUUUUUUAAAUGUACUACAACAUCUGCAUGUGUUUAUCUUUGAGAAUAAUCACUAUAUAAUUAUUUCUAAAAGCAUGCAUUAUUACAAUGCUUUAUGUCAUAAUUGAAGUAAUUCUUCUACCCUAUCUAAACCAGUAAUUUCCAGUCAUUACCCCAAAGGUGUUUAUUUUAUCUUACUUCUCUAUUUCUCAAAUAUGUAAGAAGUGUGCUUUUAUUUCUAUUUUCUUAUUUUCAAAGACACACACUAAUUUAUUAGAUUAUUGUAGUUAGUCUAUUAUUAUGCUAGCCUUUGCGCAAAUUUAUUUUAUAUAAUAAAGACAGUGGAAUAUUUAAGACACAAUACUAAAUAAAACACACUACCUUUUAAAACAAUUGGAUAAUAUUUUUAGAAUUUAAAAACUGCAUGAGGCAUAAACCUGUGUAAACAUUCAUAUUGCAUAUUGCGUCUAGGACAUAGUUUAAAAUAUUUCUUAAUUAUUUAAAAAUAUUUAGAGAGUCUUAAAAUAGGACAUUUAUAAAGUGCCAAGUUUUGGCAUUUUGUUGCGGUUCUAUAGAUGGGAGCUGUCUUUGUACAACUUUUACUGAGGGAAGGAGAAUGCACAUCUAGUACAUUGCUGUGUGAGAGGAAAACCCAAGUAUAAACCACAACCUUUGGUAACUAUUUCUAUUUUCCGUUGGUAUUAGCGGUCUUCAGCUAUCAUCCAGUAUGCCUCUUUGUUAGAUAUUGAUCAUAAGAAAUAAACACGGCAUCUUUCCCACAAGACAUACUUGCUCAUCAUAAGGAAUUAUAUCUGUGGAAAAGACUUCAAGAGAUUUCCAGAUAAGCCCUUGCAAUAGAGUCAAAACGCCACACUGGCCAGGAGAGACACACAGGUCAUUUUCUAACCAUUGAGAGUAUGGGUACAAAAAUAAAUAUAUACACACAGUGUUCCUUCUUUCACUAACUGCAUGCUGCACCUGUGCACACAUAUAUCUGAUGACAUCUGCUAACAUAAUAAAUCUCAAGUGGUUUGUGGUGUCAUCAAAACCUGAGAUGGUGGUAUGGCUCACAGCCUCCCCAACCCCAGGCUAUGGUCUUGUUAAAUUUCACAGGCUAAACAGAGACAGACUUAGACUCAUUCUGUACAUGAACCAGGGGUUUUCAAGAGCGGGUUAAGGUGGUUUACCAAGGCAAAAAAAAAAAAAGCCUCUAGAUAUGACUCAGUGUGAAAAAUUUGCUCUCUGAUUCAAUGGUGGUAAAUCAAGGAUGACUCCCAGCUUUGAAAAAAAAAAAAAAAAACAUUUUUAUCUCAAUUGUUCUGAAUUCUCAAUUCAAAGUGUCAACCUUUCCUAGCCCACUUCUGUUCUGAAGACUUACUUUAGGAAAGAAAAGCCAUGACAAUUACAUUCUUCAUAUCUUGCUUACCCACACUUUUAUACAACUUUAGUUUCAACCAUCAAAAUGCCCAUAAAAAGAAAACAAUAAACUUGAAUGAAUUUAGGCUGUAAUGAUGAUUAAAUUGAGCAAAGGAAACACAAGUGUUUUCGCAAAAAAUGUUCAGGGUAUUUUGUGCCAUAUGUAAGGUUUCUGAAACAACAGAAUUGCUAAGGUAUUUUUUUUUAACCAUUUUCAAAAAACAGAAGCAUCUGGCAAUCCAGAAAUCAGUGAGGCAACAGGAUGCAAGAAAGCGCUAGACAGUCUACUGAUCCUUCAAUAUAGUCCUGGCAAAGGACCAUCCUGUCUUUUGCUCAGUGGGCCAUUUUCAACAAGAAAACGAAUUUCAAGUCCCCUGCAUCCACACCCCGUGGCCACUUGUCCUCGGUGUCAAAGAUUCUUCUUGGCAUAUCUAGAACAUCCUGAUAUCAUUUCAAGUUGCCCCCUACUAAAGAAGAUCAAUGAUCACAUUUUGUGCCUUUCUUCCAUGACUGAGAAAGCCUAGAUGCAGCCUAGGGGCUAGAGGAAGAAUUCUUCUAUAAACGUGCACCACGUGCUUAGUAUGGGUCUCAACCCGGGGCUGGGUGCUACCAUCCAAAGAGGAGUACAUUUUUAAGGAUGUCUGCAUUUAUGAUACAAAGGCCUUCCAUCCAUUUGUCAUAAUAUUAUCUUCUAAAUUUGUUGAGAAAAGAGUAAACUUCCUGUGGGAUAUCUUGAAAGGCUUCAGACAAACACACUAAACAACGACCUUUGGUUUUUUGCUCACAUAACAGGUAGUUGAUGUGGGUUUGUAGAAUGAAAACAGUGUUGAUGGAAACCAAAGAAAAAUGUAAUUAGGGACGAUAAGUCAGGUGCCCUUCCCACCCCACCCACCCACUAAAAACAAAACAACCCCCCCCCCUGUAUAAUGUAUUCAGAAGCCAGACUAACAAAGUCAGGAAACUUUUGAUAUCACUAUUCUUCAUGAUAUGGGAAGUAUUUUUAUAACCAACAGGGGAAAGAAAGGAGGAACUAUGUUAGGUGGGAGAAUUCAGGCACAUAGGGUUUACCUAUGUGCAAUUAACACCACCCUCUUUUAGCAACUUACUGUUUAGCGAUGGUUAACAAUCAAAUACACAGGCAGGGUAGAAAUACAAGUUUCAAGAACAUACUUAAUAUCACUGCCUCUCUCUUUUUCUCUUCAUGUCUGGCCCCAUUCUGAGCUGCCCUCAAUAUUUCUUUGACCAUUAUCUUUUUAAUUUUUUGUGUGGCUAUGCGAACAGAGUAGAGACACUUUAUUUUUUUUUUAAUUUUUUAAAGAGUACACUUUAAGUGAACAAGGAACAAAAUACAAAUGACAUCCACCCACAGUCCCAUCGCCUAAAAAACCUGUUUCAUUUGCGCAUAUUCCAACCCAGCAUUUGCCUCUGUGCUCAUAUACUACUUGCACAGUCAUAAGGUUUUAAGGUAGAUAGAAUUUUAUAAUUCUUCCACUUAACCUUCCAUUGAUAUCAUUGAUAUUAGUGAAAGGGUGCAAAGUUGUAAAAUGCUAAAACUAGGAGAGACUUUGGGGAUUUUUAGACAAGAGACAAAGAAACAAAACUGACAGCAUCCUGUGGUUUGCCCUCUGAUCUUUUCAACACUGGGAUUCAUUUAAAAGGUUGGGGCAGAGUCUCUGCCCCCUUUAAGAUGGGGCUCAGUCUCCUGGGUUCCUUGUUUCAUUCCACCGGCCCUCUUUCCUCUUGUAGCUUCACCGGCUUGCCUCUUAUACCCCUGGCUUCGCAAGCCUUGAUCUAAACCGAAUGCUCUUCUUACAGAUGAGAAAAUCAAAAUGAGGUUCGGAGAGAUAAAGGGGCUUGGUGAAGGCUACUAAGCUAAUCAGCAGCCAUGCUGGCAUUGUAGAAGAGGCCCCUGAACUCUAAACAAGGCUCUUUUAUUAAUGUUUAUUUCAGAGCAUGUGGGCCAGCAGGGUUCUGAGCAUCAGCAGGAUAACCUCACCGGAACUACUGUGACCACAAGCGCCUUUAUAGACUUUAGAGAAAAGUCCCAGGUUAGCCACUCGCCACCUUUUAUGCUCCAGGUCACAAUUACCAUCUGAUGUCCACAAGCCUGAACCCCCAUAAAUCUUGGCCGUACUCACAGGGUUCUUUUUCUCGUUGAAAAGAAAAUAUCAGAAUGCAAGUGAGGGAAGCUGAUCACUUUAUAGAGAUAAAGUCAAAUCUGCUCUCAUUGAUAACGUAAGAUUAAAAAGUAAAAUACCUCAUAGAUAUGUCUAUCAGACAUAUCUCACAAAGGUGUGAUGUUGUACCAAUACCCUAGUAGACAACCACUCUUCUAGAAAAUAUAAAACCCCCGUAUCUGUACAGAGACUGUAUUUUCUGAAUGUUAAAUCAGGACACGAGGUAUAACUAAGAACUUUUUUUUUUUUUUUAAUGAAUUUAAGGUUUGGGCAAGUUUUACAAAAGUUUUUAAAAAUGAAUCAUUGUUAGCUAUGGUUUAAUGAGUGGGCUUUGUGGGAAAUAAUAAAAAGGUAUACCAUGUAAGAAUUCAUGAUGUCUAUGCCCAUGAGGGCAGUUCUUAGAAAUUCACUCAGAAAUAGGAUUGGAUUACAGUGACUGCCAUGUUGUCAUUGCUGUUUGUGUCCUGUGCACUUGGCACUUGCUUGUAGUGCUUUGUUCUUCAGACCAGACAUCCACUCUCUACGUUCUUCUCGCAAAUGGACAUCAGUGCAUGCCUCCCACGUACAACGUCACAGAGUCAAACUGGUAAAUAAUUGAGAAGUUCAUACAUUAUGUACGUGUUGAGUCUAUAGUUACUUUCUUGGCAGGCACAGGAGAGGCCCAUAUCCAAUCGGGCUCAAGACUCAUUCACAGAGGUGAUCUUAUUUGACCCUUCUUUGGCCAAAGCACCCUCUUAACCGAGCAGGGUGGGCACACUACUGUCCAUUUAGGGGGCCAGACUCUGUAUGCUAGGUUUCCUUGUGGUCCAGAUAUACAGUCUUCUUCUACAGUAUUUUAAAUGGCUCCUGACACGUUGGAUCUUCUCCUUUGCUGUGACCAACAGCAGCACCUUAAUUCAGCAAGGUCUCCCCUAGGACAAUGGUUUUCCCCAACCUUAGGUUAAAAUGAGUGUCAUAACAAAUGACAAUAAUUAUUACAUACUUAGGUCUACCUAUGGCUCUGCUCUGUGCUCAGUAUGUCAUAUAUUAUCUCAGCCCUUUUAAAGAUGAGGAGCCUGAGGCUCAGAGAGGUUAAGUAGCCGUGAAAGGUCACGGUGCUCCUAAUCCGGGUCUUUCUAAUUCCAAAGCCCAUGGCCAAAGCUGACCAGUACGUUCGGCAAAGACAUAGUGCAAGGUUGUAAUCACCCAGGUGAGUGUGGCCCCUUUAUAGGAGUUGCCUUGGAAGGCUUCGAGAGUAUUCCUUAAAGCAUUUUUAUUACUCUUCUUUUGAAAUUCCCUUUAGAACUUCAGGCAACAUUCUUUGAAAUAUUAUCGAUGGGAUAGAUCUUCUUCCUUUGAAUGUGGAUUUGAGUUUUGGAUAUAGCUAUGAUUCAUUCAGCACCCUGUGGUGAUUAAAGACCUUAUCAAGCUGGGUAAACCAGUUUGGGUCACAAACAAGGCAUGACAGAAUGUAACAAGAUUAUUUGCAAUCUCCAGCAUUUCUGAAGGAAUGGAAUAGAGGAGUGGAAGGGAAGAGACUUGGAUUUAGAGGCACCACGGUUCGGGGUACAAAUCCUGACUUAAUCACCCGGGAGCUAUGUGAUUCUGGGAAAGGCAUGUAAUGAUUCUUAGCCACGGUAGCCUUACCUCCAAAAAGAGCAUACCAAUCUAGAAUACUUGCUUCAGUGUUGUUUGGGGAUCAAAAAAUACCGCACGUCAAAAUAUGUCGGAAUGUGUCUGAAAUGCAGCCUUUCUCAAGAACUAUUUCCUGAAUCGGAUUAUCAGGUUACUUGUCUCUGUCCUUGUCCUUCAAAUGUGAUGAGAGGUGGUAAACAAGACUUAAUGUGGUCUGCGACGAUGACCAGACCUCAGGACCCCUCUCAGUGCCACUGGUCCUGGCAUAGAGCAGGUAUAUUUACCAUUAAAGAUGAAAAACCAGAAGGGAAGUCCCUAGUUUCCCGAUACUAAGGGACAUGGAUUUGAAGGAGGAUGGGGUGUAGUUUGCAGUUUGCGGGAGGCAGUUUCUAUCUCAAGCUUACUCCUAGACUCUCUCUAGAACAGUAGGAAACCUGAGAGCAGCUUCAGCAAGGGCCCUUUAUGAACUGCCUGCCCUAUGGCAGGUUCUGGCUCAAGGUGGGACAUGGGAUACCGCUCCUGUCCUCAAGAACAGUAUCCAAAGGGCUGCUUUAGUGACAGUCAUGGGAUAAUGCUACUCAAAUUAUAAGAAUUGGGAACACCUCAGAACCCAUUGACACAAACAGUGUUAUUCAUCUAUUGACUGAGAUGUUGUAACUCUUCAGGCAACAAAUAAGCCUGCUAUGUCCAGGAGGUGCCCAGUGAACAAAACAAACAAUAGUCUAGCAUAGAGGAAAGAGAGACAGGGAGAAGAAAAGACUGGAAUAGCUGACAGAAAUAGAAGCCUUGUGUAGUGCUGUUCUGAAUUCAUAGGCCUGCCAGGCUUCUUUGUGAGGUCAGAAGGAUGAUUUGAGAAUUCUAGAAAAUUCGCAGAGAGGUGUUUAUCAAAAGAUGGAAAAGAGGAGUGCCCAAGCUUUUUGCAACAUACAGUAAAUCAGGGAUAGCUAUCUAUUGAAAAUAGAGGAUGGGGGGGGGGCGGCCUCAGUGGCUCAGUUGGCUAAGCGUCCAACUCUUGGUUUCAGCUCAGGUCAUGAUCUUGUGGUUUGUGGGUUCAAGCUCUGCAUCAGGCUUCCUGAUAACCACAGGGCUUGCUUGGAAUUUUCUCUCUCCCUCUCUGUCUUUGGUCCUCCCCUGCUUGUAUGUGUGAGUGCAUGUUCUCUCUCUCUCUCUCUCUCUCUCUCUCUCUCUCUCUCUCUCUCUCUCAAAAAUAAAUGAAUAAACUUAAAAAAAAAAACGAAAAUAGGGGAAGGGAGCAGCCUCUGAGGAACUCUGUAGAGCUUUGGUCAACUGAUCUAGAGCUCUUCUACUCUAUCUUCUGCAGCGCCCUAAAGUACAGGUACAAUAUUGUUUCCAUUUUACAGAUGAGAAAACUAGAGUACAGGGAACUAAAUAACUUACCCAAGGUCAAUAGCUCCCAAGUGUCAGCAGCAGGAUUUGAAACUAGGUAGUGUGGCUCCAGACUCUUGGCUCUUAACCACCUUCAUGCAAACUUUCUCUUCUCCUCUGCAUGCCCAUCCCCAAUAAAGUAGCUUGGCCCAACCGUGAAAUCUCUCCUCCUUCCUGUAGGGUUCAUUCUAGGCCCCACAUCUCCCUAUCAGGGAGCCAUAAGUGUGGGCGACCUUAGCACAAGACUUAGUCACUAAGGAGAAAGGAAGUACUUCCGAAACCUUGGCCUGAUUCUUUAGAUCCGCCAAAGGUGAGAUCCAGUGACUACCCCUACCUCUCUUCCUGUGCUUUAAAAAAAAAAGAAAAUCAAAAAAUUAUUGUCCAAUCGUACAAUGGAACAUUAUAUAGCAACAAAAAGAACACACUUCUCCAUAGCAUGCGUGUAGAAAACUGCACAUCUUAAGUGUAUAGCUAAACAAUUUUCCCAUGUCACCACCAUCCGCGUUUAGAAAUGGAAAAUUACUGGCACUCCAGAAAUUCAGAAGCUACCCCAUCGUCCUUCCCAAAGGUAAUCACUGUCCCGAUUUCUAACAAUACAAAGUUAUAUUGUUUGUUUUGAACUUUAUAUAAAGGGAAACAUAUGAUAUUUGCCUUUUUAUGUCUGAAGUACUUUGUUCAACAUUUCAUGCAAUAUUCCUUCUUGCAGUUGCAGAUGACAAAGUUCUUUUUUUCCCACAUUGCAAUAUGGAUUCUAUUGUAUGAACACAACACAACUUAUCUACUCUAUACUUGACAGUCACUGGGUUGUUUCCACUUUGAAGCCAAUACAAAUAAUGGAAAAAUGAGCGGUCUCCUACGUGUGGUCCAGCAUCCAUAUGUAUGCAUUCUCUUGGGCAUAAACCUAGGAGUAGAAUUUUUGGGUUUUUAAGUAGCCUAUGAGAAAUUUUAGUAGAUAAUGACAAAUAGAUUUCUAAAGUGAUUGUAUGAGUGUGUAUGGGAGCAUAUGAGAGUUCUCGUUGUUUUACACUUUCAUCAACACUGUUUGGUCUUUUUCUAUUCUGGAGUAUAAUGAUAUCUCAAUUUGGUUUUAAUUUGCAAUCCCAUUUGACCGAUGAGGUUAGCUGCUUUUCAUCUGUUUAUUGGCCAUUUGGAUAGCCUCUUGUGAAAUGCUUGUUCAAAUAUUUUGCCCAUUUUUAGUUUGGCUUUCCUGGUUUUGGUUUUGUUGUGUUUUGUUUUUCUUCAUUGAUUUGUAGGUGCUCUUUAUAUAUUUGGGACAUGAGACCUUUGUCAGUUCUAUCUGGUGCUGAUUUCUCUCCCACUUUGCAGCUUGCAAUUUCACUCAUUUGAUGUCGCAAUGUCUUUGUGAGCUUUAAAAGCACAUUUUUAAGAGAAUGAUUGCCACACAAUACACUGUACAUAUUUAAGGUGUAUGAUUUGAUAAGUUUUAAAAUACAUGUACAUUAAUGAAACUAUCACCACAGUCAAGAUAAGAAAUAAUUCAGUCGCCUCCGGGAGGUUUUCUGUGCCUCUUGGCAAUCCCUCCCAACAGAUCUGCUUUCUCUCAUUAAAACUUGGUUUGCAUAGUUUAGAAUUUUAUGUAAAUGGAAUCACACAACAGGUACUCUCUUUUGUCUGGCUUCUUUCAUUCAGCAUAUUUUGACAUUUAUUCAUGUCCUUACUUGUAUCAAUAGUUCAUGUAUUUUUACUACCGAGUAAUAUUUCAUCGUGCGGUAUACCGUAAUUUAUUCAUCACCUGCUGAUGAGCAAUUGGACUGUUUACAAUUUGGGGCUAUUACAAAUAAAGCUGAUGUGAACAUUUCAUAUACAGGACUCGACAUAGACAUAAGCUUUCAAUUCUCUCAGGUAAAUACCUAAGAAUGACAUUUCUGGGCAUAUGGUAGGUAUCUCUUUAAGGUUUAACUUCUUAAGGAGCUGUCAAACGGUUACCCAGAGUGACUAUCAUCUCACAAUUCCAUCAGCAGUGUAUGAGAAUUCGAGUUCCUCCAAAUCCUCACCAACUUAAUAGGAUCAAGUCAUUUAAUUUUAGCCGUUCUAAUAGCUAUGUAGUAUGUGCCAUUAUCAUUUUAAUAUGUUUCCCUAAUACUUGUUUCCUUCAUGGCUUAUGGUGUUAAGCAUCUUUUUACAUGUGUGUUUAACAUUCUUGUAUCUGCUUAGGUAAAGCAUCUAGAUGUUCAGAUCUUUUGUUCGUUUUAAAAACUGAGGUGUUUGCAUUCUUACUGUUCCGUUAUUAUAGUUGGGGUUUUUGUUUUGUUUUGUUUUGUUUUGUUUUGCUUUGCUUUGCUUUGGUAUAGUGUGGAAACAAGUCCUUUCUCAGACAUUCGACUCACAAUAUUUUCUCCCAGACUGUGACUUUUCUUUUCAGUCUCUUGACCACAUCUUUUGAAGAGUAGAAUUUUUAAAUUUAGUUAAGUCAAAAUUAAGGAUCGUGCUUUUGGUUUUAUAUCUAAGACAUUUUGCCUAAUCCGACAGCACAAAGAUUUGUCCCCUUAUUUCUUUUGGAAUUUUUCUAAUUUUAUGCUUUCCAUUGAGGUCUAUAAUCUAUUUUGAGAUAAAUUUCAUAUAUCAAGUGCAAGGUAUAGAUUGAAAUUCAUUGUUUUCAUAUGGAUAUCCAAUUGUUCUGAUACCAUUUAUUGAAAAGACUUUUUUUUUUCUCCACUGAAUUGCCUUUAUACCUUUGCGGAAAGUCAUUUGUCCAUAUAUGUGUGGGUCUAUUCUAUUUCUUUGAUUGGUUUGCCUAUCUGGAGGCCAAUAACACACUAUCUUAGUUACUAUAACAUAAUAAUGUUUGAAUCAAGUAGUAUUAGCUCUCUGAAUUUGUUCUUUUAAAUAUUGUCUUUUAAUGAACUCUUCUGUUGUAUUGUUCUCUGGGCAAACUCUUCCGGUGCUUGGUUUGUUCUUUAACAAGUUUUCUCUAAGAAAUCUUGGAUCUACUCAGACACUUUUCCAGCUGGGAUAUCUGUACAUUUUAAGUCCAUCGUUCCUUUGGGCUUAAAGUUUAUUUUUAUUCAAAGAUCUUUUAUUAAAAUGCAUGUACCCCAAAGAGAGUGGGGUUGUGGUGGUAUUACUCCAAAAGUCAUCAGCUAUUAUGGUAACCGACAGCCAACUGACAAUCUGACUGUUUUGGAAAAAGACUCUACAGCCCGGCAGACCUCUUGGGGCUGGGGAAGACCAGGUGGAAGGUGGGAGAGAAAGGAGCUUCAGGUUUAUAGUAAUUCCUGUAAGUUACCAGGUAUCGUCCUGGCUGUUUUGCAUUUAGCGUCUUAUUUUACCCAAGAUCAUUGUAAUUUCCCUUCUCAGAAUACGCUGUAGAUCAGGGUCCUUUUCUAUAAAGGACUAAAUGUUUUAGGUGGGGCCAGCUUGACAUGGGGGUGAAUCUGUGCAUUCACACAGCAUGUAAAAUCAUUCAGAUUUUUGGCUUUGCGGGCCAUACAGGUAGUCUCUGAUGCCUCUACCCAACUCUUUCCGUGUUACACAAAAACAGCCAUCGAUGAUAUUUAAACACUGAGCCCGGCUGUGCUUCAAUAAACCUUUAUUUAUGGACACUGAAAUUUGAAUUUAAUAUUAUUUUUACAUAUCAUAAGAUAUCUGUCCUCUUGUUUUUUUUUUUUUUCUCAUUUAGAAACAUUGAAACCGUCCUCAGGUCCCAAGUCAUACACAAACAAGCAGUGAGUUCUAUCUGGCCCGUGGGUGUUAGGUCCCUUAGCCCUUCCCUAGAGAAACUCCACACAUGUGCAUCAAGUGACAUGCACAGGAAGUUCACAUCAAAAUUGCCCUUGAAUGCUCCAAACUAGAAACAACUGAAAGUCCCUGCAAAGGUAGAAUGGCUAAAUAUAUCGUAGUUUAUUUAUAUAUAACAUAUGGUUGAAAGAAAGAAGCAGGUCUUAAAAGAAUACAUACAGUAUGAUUUUAUUUAUAUAAAGUUCAAAAACAGACCUGCAUAAGUGCUAAAACUAAAAUAUAAAAAAAAUAAUAAUAAAGCAAGGAAAUGAUCACAGGAAAAAUCAGGAUGACGGUUACCUCUCUGGAGGGGAAGGUGAUGGGGAGGGGACUUCUGAGGCCUUAGCAAUGUUGCGUUUCUUGACCUGGGUCAUGUUUGCAUUGGUGUUUGCUUUAUAUUUAUUCUUUGAACUACACCUUUUAUGUGUCUACUCUGAAAUGUAUAUCUCAUCAUUUUUAAAUUUUCAGUUCCUAAUUCCAACCGGGAGUUGGCAUUUGGAGCCCCAUUUCAUAGUGAGGUUGGGGGAGGGGGGAAUCGCAUGCCCAGGCCACAUGUUUCCAACUUCCUAAAGCUCCUUUGAUAUAAUUUUGAAGACCUUUGGCAUCCAUCUGGCCCUGGGCUUCACAUUUGCCAAGAAGAGUCUUGGCUUUUAUAGCAUUCAAAUGUUUUUCUUCUCAGUUUACUUUUGUCUCAGAUAAUAAUGCUCUCUGCCAAAUUCCCUCAAGGUCAAAUCCACAUUAUUAUGGGUUCCAUUGUCUUGAAGCCUUUCUUGUUUGCAAAUUCCAUUUUUCCUAAUUUCAAAAUAUAAUUAUAAAUAAUUCAAUCACAUUGAAUUGGGCAGUGGAUGUGUAUACUGGCUACUUUCCCUUUAUCCCUCUGCUCCUCAGUGUUUAUUCUCUUCUUAAUAUUUCUACCUUCUGGCUGUCUAUGUGUGGCUGUAUGUUGUCAUUAACCAGGCAGGGCUGAAAUGAAAGAAAAGAAAAUAUGUAUCCAUGGUUGGAAAGGACAUGAGUUUAGGAGUAAACCUACGGCAGUUUGAACCUCUACUCAAUCUAUUGGCUGUGUGCUCACAGCCAGUGAUCUAGCCUCUCUGGGUCUUUUCUUUCACUAAUGGAACUAUGAGAGAGAGUCAUUGCAAGAAUUAGAUAUGUAAAGGUCAAGCAAGAAAACUUGUGAAAUGGACACAGUUCAACACCUUGCACUACAGCCACUUUAUGACUUGUGAUAGGGUGCAAUAAAUUUCAGUUCCCUUCCUUCCUUCCUUCCUUCCUUCCUUCCUUCCUUCCUUCCUUCCCUUCUUCCUUUUUCCAUUUUGCAAGAUUUUUCUGUCUGCCCUUGCCAACCAUGUUAAUCCAGCAAUUGCCUAAUGAGAGAAAAGGUUGGUAGUGAGUGGGUUGGGGACAGGAAAAAAAACAAAGGUGGAAAGAAACAUUCUACUCUAGAGCAUAGGAAAAGAGCUCGCAUUAUAUCUCUAUUUUAUUUGCCCAUCGCUCUUCAUACCCCUCAUCUGUCCGUGAAGUCAUGGGUCUCUAGACCCCUAGAAAUCCAAGAGCCUGGUAAAGCUGUUGUCAGAAUCUUUAUAGAGCCUAAGAGAACUCUACCCUGAUUUCAGGAAUAAAAAUUGCCUUCAAAUAGAUCACUUAGAACCUGUCUGGCAUAUUGUCUGGGCUGAGUAAGUGUUGGGUAUUAUUACUGCGAUUGUUGGUGUUACGAUUAUUAUUGCUCUUCAGGACAGCAUCUCAGUAUGCGCGACAGGAGUUGUGAGGCCAUCAGCUGCCUCGUUUGCCACACGCACACCCAAGUUACGACUGUUGUUUCUUUCAGCAUUUCUCAGUCUCCCCUGUCAUUUCCCUCCCCGAAACAUUUCAUUCUGCCUUUUCCAGAACAAACAUCAUUAUAAUCACUUCUUGUUCACAUCUCUGCUAUCCCCAUGGCUCUUGCUGCUCUCACUGGUAGUAGCAACACCUCUGAAUUUACUACCAUCUGCAAAUAUCAUUAGCUAUUGUUUAUUCCCUCUCCCACACUAUUAAUGAAGAUGUUAAUUAAGACCAGAACUAACACUGACCCCAGCAGCAAUCCACUAGACAUUUAUCCAACUGGAUAAACUUCUGUUAGUCAUUACCCACCGCUCAUAGACAUUACCACUCCUCCAUUCCCUUCAUCUGCUAAUUUGUAAGAGACCAGGGGAGAGAAUUAAGGGAGCCCAGUAUUAUUUAAAAAUUAACACUCUGAUACUUAGGGUUUUUGGAAAGGGAUUUGGUGGAACAUCAGAAGGAUGGUUGUCAGUAGUAUAUGCAUGAGUGAAGUGAGCCAGCAUCCCAAAGAAUUUGGUAAUUGCCUGGCUCAGCUUAUGGGUUUCUGAGAUUUCGUUUCAGCCACCUCCAUGUAAAGAUGAUCAGACUAAGGCCCAAAGACUUCUCCAAGAUCACUUCCCUCGUUAGUAAUAGAACCCACAUUGGAACUUGGGGCUCUCACUUCCAGUCCCACACUCCGGGUAGAAGCGAAGUUGAUCUCACUUCACAGACGGUCUGCUCAGACACCUGUGCAUCAGCAUUUGGCCACUAAAUCCUAAACUUGUGGAGUGGAACACAGUGGCCGUCAACUUCAUCCAUUUGGCUUCAGCAAACCACGUCGGGAAGGAGUUCUUUACGUAUUUUGUUCAAGGCAAGAGCAUUAUUCACCAUGAUGCUCUGUUCUCUCAACCUAUAAAUUAGUAGUUCUCGACCCUGGCUAAACAUUAGAAUCACCCAGGGCAGCUUUUAAAAAAUACCAAUGCCCACACCACAUCCCUAGAAAUUCAGAUUUAAUUGGAUUGAGGAGAGACCCAGGCACUGGUAAAUUUUUUUUUUAAGCUCCCCAGGUGAUAGUUGAGAGCCACCCCAGAGGAUAAAGUGUUUCUCCAAAGAGUCCUAAGUUGGGAGGCUGCUUGUUCUAUAGAAUAGGGUCAGUAUGGACCUGCUGUACCUUAGCGAAUGGGAACAAACCUUUCUCUUAAACAGGAAACUGACUGCUCUUCGAACGUUUUCCUUGCGAAGAAUGCAAAUUGCAUUACCAACUCAGAAUGACGUAAUUUGGAAUCUCGUAACCCGGUCGUGGUCAUUUACACCUGGCAAUUUUUCCAGACUUUAACUUUGUAGGCCGUACUGCCUACCUAAAAGCUCUCAGGCAGUCCCAAAGUGAGCUACUGGUUUAGUGUGAAAGCUGGCCCACUGGAAGCAAAGUCGAGCAAAGGACAGAGGACUUACCAGCGUUUGAAGGGUUUGCUCUUUAGACAUUAAUACCCGUUGUACCUGAUGCAGCAACAAAUGCCUUCCUGCCGCUGGUAUGGCAAUGGAGCCUUGGUGGAUGAAGAAUGUAGGUCAAAGACAAAACGAGGAAACAUCAUCUCAGGCUUCUGCCUGGACAAGAGCCCGAGAAGAAUAAAAGACAAGACUUUGGAAGACCUCAGAGGCUGCUAGUCUUCUGGCGUCUCACUUUGUGGCCUCUUCCAUUAUAGGGGAACAUCUCUACGUGACGAAUUGCCAGCAACACUCACACCUAUCAGAAUUGGGAGAUUCGCGGUGCUCAUGUUCCCUUGUGCAGGUUGUUCACUGCCCAAAGGUGCCUGGGACACGGGGGCUGAAAUGUGCAGUGAGAAGCAGUGCUUCCAGGAAGGACAAGAUGACUCUAUUUGUAGUUUACAGAAAGAUGCUGCCCGGAAAGUGGGAUCCCCGAAGAGGGAUAAAGACACAACAGUUUUCCACGUCCUUGUCAUAAGAAGCAGAGGCCUCGUGAUGAAAACAGGGAAGAAGAGAGAAGAGCAAAGAGAUGACCGAAAGUGUCAGGGUUCCCAGGGAUCGUCCACCCUCCCUGGUGCUCCAAUGCUCCAAUAUCAGUGCCUCUCGAUGGUCGUUAAGGCUGGGCUAAAACAGGAAAAUGUACAGGAAGCUGGUGAAAUGUGGAAAUGGAAUAUCUGUAGAAGAGACAAUAAGACCCAAGGAAAAAGGAAGUCUAAGGUGGGAACAUUUUUUUAUGUGCUCAUUCUCUCCUCAACUGAAGUUGGGGCCCCAGCCAUGGCUCACGGGCUUGCCCACUGCUGUGACAACCUGGUUCAGCUUCUGGGAAAGAGAAAGAAAGAGCAGGGAUCCCAGCAACAGUCACUGGUGGAGGGCCAGGACGGGCGCCUCCACCAGUGAAUGCUUCCAGAUGCACUGAAGUGUUGUCCCAAAACACGGCUCAAGAAACAGCUUAGGUAGAGAGUGACUCCUCUGGAGGAAAAAAAAAAAAAAAAAAUCAGUCAUUUUGACAAGGUCAAAAUACCAAGAAAACAGCAUUCCCAAUUGAGAAGUUACGGGUCAGGACCACACUCCAUUAGAAAAUGCUCUUUUCUGCUUCUCCCUCAGACAUUUUGGCUCUGACAUGAUUUUUAAUAAGUCCUCCCGAAUAGCAACUCUCUGGGCACAUGGUCUCAACUAAAAACAUGUAAGUGGUUGGGUUUGGGGUAAGGGUUCUCUCCCCUUACCCAUGACAAAAAGAAAGAGGAGGGGGUCAAAUAAUGGAGCUAAAUAAUCCCAUCUGAGAACAAAUGGUCCCAGGUGCUACUUGGGCACAGAGUUAGUGGGUUGUAGUGUUGUCUGCACUGUUCAGAGGGACUCAGAGGGAAGGGAAGUUCCCCUCAGGAUCUGAAAAUUGGGGCAAUUUGGAUGAUUUCCUCUUCGCUUGUACCUUGGAAAGGUAACCAGGGAGGAAGCCAGUGGAGUGAGAAGGAAGGAGGGAAGGAAGGAAGGAAGGAAGGAAGGAAGGAAGGAAGGAAGGAAGGAAGGAAGGAAGAGAAAGAAAGAAAGAAAGAAAGAAAGAAAGAAAGAAAGAAAGAAAGAAAGAAAGAAAGGGAAAGGAAGGAAGGAAGGAAGGAAAGAAGAAAAAGAAAGAGAAAGAAAGAAAGAAAGAAAGAAAGAAAGAAAGAAAGAGGAAGGAAGGAAGGAAGGAAGGAAAAGAAAGGAAGAAAGAAAGAAAGAAAGAAAGAAAGAAAGAAAGAAAGAAAAAAGAAGAAAGAAAGAGAAAGAAAGAAAGAGAGGAAGGAAGGAAGGAAGGAAGCAAGAGAAAGAAAAGAAAGAAAAAGAAAGAAGAAAGAAAUGAGGGAGGGAGGGAGGGAGGGAGGGAGGAAAUGAGGGAGAAAAGGUCUCAUUUACUGAGCACAGACAGCUUGCCCAGACGUCGCUUGGCUUUUCCAUAUAUGUGAUUCCACGUAAUCUCUAGAACAGCACUGUGGGGUAGGUAUAGCUGCUUAGUUAAUAAGUGGCCAGGUUGUAUCCCAUCCAGGUGUACCUGACUUCAAACUCCUUCCCUUUUCCUUUUAACGACUAGUGUCAGCCAACUAGACACACAUACAUGUACACCUGUGUUUAUGCAUGUGCACACGUGUGUUUUAUUCCUUAAGUGCUUCUUAAUCUUGCCCUAUCACCAAGCAACCAAACAAUGAGAGUAAAUUUCCUAUGUCUGUUUUUUCUGCUCUUCUCAGACUCUAAAUGGUUUUCCUCUCUUCAGAGUUACCACUAAUGUCGUUUUCAUCUGUCGUUGCCUGUAUCUUAUUGAAAAAAGGAGAAGAGGAGGGUGGGGCCGAGGGAGAUCAUUUGUCCUGGCUCUUUGGCUUAUUACUGGGCAUAGACUACUUUUGGGGGGUGUGGGUGGGGGAGGGGGGAUGCCCCCAUUUCGCCAACCCCAUACCACGCAGCUGUGGGAAUUCUCUCGUCUGCUUUAGAUAACAGUUCAGCCCUGUUUUGCCCACAACUUCUUGAGAGUUGAAGUCUCCUCCUUCACGGAGAAGACAACCAUCCUUGGAGAAGCUUCUUUUCAAGCAGCCAUUGUACAGUCCUCUGAAGGAGGGAUUGCAGACCUCGCCCCCAUGGCCAGGGGCCUCUACCUUUUUGGUUUUUCCCCCUGGGGAGAUGGGGAGGGGCUGGAGGUGGGAAUGUGUCUGAUGAGGCUGCAGCCUGCCUCCCGUGGGUCACCUGCUGCCCAGGGGAGGAGAGCCAUGGCCAGGUUUUCCCUGUGUCUCCCUGGAGCAGACACAGAUGCUUCAGGAGGAGAGACGCUAUCACAAAAGGGUUUAUCAGGAAGAAAAAAAAAAAAAAAACAUGUGAAAGGGGAUGGGGUGUUGGCAAGCAGGCUUGCUCCAAGCUCAGCCUCUGCUGUCUGUAGUCUCCAUUUAUUGAUUCUUUUCUUUCUCCACUCCCCACUUUCCAAGGGUUCAUAUUCACUCCACAGAGAAAAGCAAUCUCCAGGCAAAAAUGGUUACAGUAUUUUAUUAAAGUUUGGUAGAGAGGAGGGAAGAGGAAGGAAAAGGCUGGACUAGGGGGCACGGGGUGGGGGUGAGGGGGGUGAUAAUGUCUGCCUGAGAGCGAGGAAGAGAGAGGGAGAGAAAGGGAAGGCAGGCAUGCAUGAGAGUCUCAAGCAGCAGCCAAGAAGCAGAGAAAGGGCUGCUGGGGACAAGGAGGGGGGUGGUGUGCCAAAAGCCUUAUAGAAAAAGAGCAAAGAUCCGAACAGGAGGAAUGGUUAAAAACCGAAGUGCAAAUGGACCUUGGGAUCCUCCCUGGGAAGAGGGCUACAAGCAAAAUACAAGGCAGGAUGCCGGGACACCUCAGAGUAACACAAGUCCUGAGGAGGCAGUUUGGAGAGGCCACAGAAAUGGCCUAGCAAAUAAAGAAACAAAUGCCAGAGAAUGCUAAUAUGCUGAGGGCCUUUAAAGAGAGGGAGAGAAAGAGAGAGAGAGAGAAUGGAGGUCUGAGACACAGAGCGACAUCAAGUGAAAGCCGAAGCAGAGCAGAGACAGGGACAAAACACACUCACAUAGCCAGACCCCAAGAGAGGGACACGGAGAGAGUCACACACAGAGAAAGACAGACAGGGCUGGGGGUGGGGGGGGGGCGAUGGGAGUGGGGCGAGAGGGAAAGUCUCCAGCCAAAUGCGGGAGAUUUGGCAGGUGGACAGCAGCAGCCGGCCAGGCAGUCACUGCACUUGCUGCGUCUAGUCUAUUGUUGUCUGGAGGGGGGGAGAGGGAGUUGUUUGUUUGUUUUGUUGUUUGGCCUCUUUGUCUCUUUUGUUCCAAGCAGUUAGUUUGCUCCUUUCCCAGACACUGGGCUGAUGGAAGAGCUUUAUGGAUUUUUCUUAAAGGGACAGGAUUAGCUAGUUUACCAGUGUAGCAUUAGCGAUGCCUCAGUCCUAACCAGUUUCUACCUAACAGGCUAUAUAUAUAUAUAUCUGUACUAUUUUAAAAGAUCAGAGUAAGGAUGGAGAGUUAGUAUUUUUGCUGUUUUUGUGACUGGUUAACAAGAAUAAACGGGUCAAGUUCACCCUCCCCCCCCCCCCCCCCCUCCCCAAGCGUCCUCCUCCAGGGUUGCCAACACUGCCGGGGGAAGAAGGAAGGAAGGACAAAAAGAAGAAACCCCUACAAACCAAAGUAAAUGGAAACCAUACAUAAAUAGCUCCAAACAUUGGUACAUGUUCUACCCCUCUUUUUUUAACCUAGGCAUCAAGAUGAGAAAUACAAACUCAAGGCUUUAAAUAACCACCAGAAGAAGGGCUUUGAAGGGAUAGGGGUGACUGGGCCACAAGUCCCCUGACGCUCACCAGGCAGGCACGGAAGGCUCCCCCUGGCCUCACACCCAGACCUGUUUCCUGUAGGCCCUUCCCAGGCUCCAUCCCAGAGGACAGACACUGGGCUGGGGGCUUGGGGAGCCUGUUUUGGGUCACCCCUUGGGGCUUGGCCUUCCCGAAGGAAGGGACUGUUAACACACUCAGGGUGCCCUAUGCCGGUGGUGUCGGAGGGUAGAGAGUCACUCAGCUGACCUGAGAGCCGCUGCUUAUUUGUUUGAGGAGGGGUAGAGGAAAGGGGUAUCCCGCAAGCCUCUGACUUUUUUGUUUCCGCAGAGACUCCUAGCUUCGCGUCCUUCCUAGUAAUUUAAAUCAGUUUUGGUCUAAAGCAGACAGCUUCUGAAGGAAAUGAAAUUUCAACACACUCCCAAAUUCAUCCACGUUUGAUUUUGAAUUCCAUCUCUAGGCCUCCCUCCAAAAUAAUGCCCAGUCCUUUUUCUUCAUCCUAACGACGCUUUUCCCUUGCUUGCUUUAAAGUCUAGGAUGCUGGAGAUUAAAAAUCAUUACAUACAAUCCAAGGGCUCGAGGCCCUAGGAAGGGUUCAGAGGGGGUGGAGGUGGGAGAGGGAAGUGGGUGCUCCUUUGCCAACAGGAUCUUUUAUGUUAGAAGCAAACAGAUCCGGAGUGGACGCUUCUGCCCUGGAAAGUGCGGCUGCCGCAGUUGGAGGGUGCAGGCUGGCUCUGGGGGCAAAGCGGGCUGUCACCUCCGCCCCACCCUCUGGGAGUUCGGUACUUAAGAGGUACACAAUUCUGUCAGCCGCUGGGGUUUAGGGGUGGCAGGGUGAGGAGUUAAAAAGCAAGCUGCUUACACCUACAACUUAUCCACCGCCCCCCCCCACCAUAACUUUUCUCCUCUCGGCCACCGUCCCCCUCCUUUUUUCAAAGCUGCCAUAGGUGUCCCGGCCCUUCGUCGUUGCGAAGUUUUUGCUUCUGCUCAGGUGCCAUUUGAAGGGGCCGGGGAAGUCCCGCCUUUCCAGGGGAAAGGAGGAGGGGAUGCUGGGGGGGGGGGGGGGGGCGAGGAGAUGGGACCUUGGUUCCCGGCGGGCCCAGUCGGAGAGAGGCCUGUGGGAGGUGCGGCCGGAGGGAGCGAGGCAGCACGUGGGACACGUGUUUGCCCAGGGUUUGGAAAGAGAGGAUGUUGUGGGGCUCGGGUCUCCCGAGACUCCUGGGGGAGGGGGCAUUGGUAGGCAGCUUCGAUUUGGGUGGACGUCUGACGUCCCAGGUCGCACGAGGUAACCGAAAUCCUGCUAACCUUGAGCAUAGAACUUGAUUCGGAUCUGGGCACGCAGGCGCAGCCCCGCUCAACCCGUUAGCUCCCACGGACAUCGCUUAGGGGCAGGCAUCCUCGGUGGCCAACGACCUGAGGAGCACACCCGGCACGUGGAAGGAUCAAAGCAAAGUGCUGGCCAGGACCCUGGCGGGGUCAAGUCCGAUUCCAGAACCAGUCCAGCGGGGUUCAGGAAGGGCCCUGCAACCCCAGGCCCGUGAGUCCGCCCCGCGCCAUCCGAGGGGGAUUUCGUUUCUAUUCCCCGCACGUGUCCCAGCGGCGCACCAGGAGAUCCAGUUUCGCCGGAACGUUCCCGUUGACUUGUUGGUUUGAAAGUUGAGGCCCCGGGGUGGUAAGGCUGGCCACAAAAAUUUCAAACCCCGCUAAUCCUAGACAAAAUAAAAACACAAUAGGCCACAAACCAACCAACUUGGGGCACAUUCUGUGGUGGUCUCCUGGCUGGGCACAUGGAACUGCGCAACCUGGAGGGAGUGAACCUUUCUACUUCUAAUGCCCAGUGUUGUGUGGGAAGACCUCAGGAUGGAGUUACAGCCGGGUCCCCCGUCCACCGCAUGCGCCCGUCUUCUAAAGAAGAAUGAAAACAACCCCCCAAACCGGCCGCAUCCAAAGCUCCGCGGGGUGGGGGGCAAGGGGCGCCGGAAGCUUGCCUAGAGCCCGAGCUUUGGCACGAAUUUGCCUCCCACCGAGACGCAGGGUCUCCCAGGGAGACGGAACCCAGCCGGAGAAAUCGCGGCCUGGGAGCCCCUGGCCCCCACUGGGGAGCCAACCCGCCCAGCGCGAAGAGUGCGUCCCCCGAUCCCCACGCCGGGGAACUGCAAGGCAGGAGGACGCUCAAGGCUCCAGCAGGGUGGAAUCCUAGAGACAAAAAAAAAAUCUGAAAAGAAAAAAAUAAAUAAAUUUGAACAAAACUAAACUACAAACCCGCUGGUCCCCGCCGAAAGCGAGGUGGGGGAGGAGGGGGCGGGAACGGCCGAGGCGCAGAGAGUGGGGGAUGCGAAACGAACUCCGUCCCCUGCAGAGUCGGUGCCUUCGGGGGCUCCAGCACCGCGCGCUCCCGCCGGCAAGGUUUGGACUCACGGGGGAGGGGGAGGCUGGGAGGGAGAGGAGAGAAGAAGGAUAGGUGGGGGGGGAGAAGGGAGGUGGUGGUUCUUUUUCUCCUCCAGCCAGCGCCAGCCGAGGCGAACUUGCGGUGGCGGAGCUCGAGAAAACUUUGGAAAGUUUCGGGAGCGCGGUUAGUGGUGGAGGCGCAGGGCAAAGAAGCAAUGCUGGGGUGGGCGCUGGGGAGCGGACGGGGUGCUCCUGGGAGGCCAGGUCCUGGGGUGGUUAAAGAUCCAAGCAUCCUGGGUCAGGUCCGCCCCCGGCCGCAGAGGCUUCGAGGCGCUGACUGCGGGACGUUUCCUUAAGAGAUGGACAAGACAAGACCGCGGGUUCGGCGGUCUCUGCCAGUGCGGAAAGCACUGCAGGGCGACGGCUCGGAGCAACAGCGGGAAAGGCUCGUCUGCCAAGGCGGGAUUAGAUCCUCCCGCCCAGGGGCCCCGUCCCCCAUCUUCCCCCGCCCAGCGAGGGCCGCGCGCGCCAGGGAUCUUUGGGGCGACGCGCGCCGUUUCGAGUCGCGCUUCGGCUCUCCGCGCACCACGUGCGCCCACGGCCUCAGGCGGGGAUGUUUGGGCCAGUGCCUCUGAAAGAGAGGGGGCCACGCAGCCAAGACCAGGCUUCGGCCACGUUCGGCCCGCGCACCCUUGCUGGGGGCAGGAUAAAAUGGCCCAACCCAACUUUUCCCUGCGCCCUGGGAAGGAAGCGUGGUGCGCCCGCUGGAGCGCGAGGCCGCCGCCGCCCGUUCCACACGCGGCCUGGCUUUCUGCUUUUCCUCACUGCGCACCAGGGAAAGGCAGAAUUCAAUGAUAUCAUCCAAGUGUCACGCAGUCUUUUCCUCUUUUCCUCUGGAGCCUAGUGUAUUUCGAAGGGGUAUCUCCCAAUUCUCAAAUAAAUGUCUUUCUCUCUAAAGCCUGGCUGGGUUCUGUAGUAACCAUUGAGGCGAAAAUGACCACACACACACACAAAGAAAGAAAGAAAAGAAAAAAGAAAAGGGAAGAAAAGAAAAGGAAAGAAAAGGAAAGAAAGAAAAGAAAAUUAAAGAAAAAGAAAGAAAGGAAAGGAGAGGAAAGGGGGAAAAACCCAAUCAGUUGUGAGUUUACAGCCUGAAGCGGCUUAUUUGGGCCCAUUGAACUCCAUUCCAGACCGCGCAGCUCACCCUAUUCGGGGAGAAGCUGGAGAAUGGAGACAAAACAAGGUUAUUUAAAGUGACUCCCGGAACGCGACUUCCCUUCCAAAACUCCUUAGGUGUCUGCUUCAGGGCUCCAGCUUAGCGCGGCCCGGGCAACCCAGCCUCGGAUGUUUAAACCGGGCCAACCCCCGGGUGAAACUACCUGUUGGGAGAAUGCGCAGUCUAGACUUUCGGCCCUCUUUUCUCCCGCGCAAUCCCCGCAGCGACGGGAUGGUUCUGGGUUUGGCAGGACUGGGGAGAGGACAGAAGAGCCGGGAGCAGCGGACAAACUCAGCAGCUCCUGGCUCUACCCAGCGUGCUGCGGGGGCUCUUUGGAAAGUGGAAGCAGUCCCUAGAACGCUGUGCGGGGCCCUUGGCUGCAGGGAUGCCCCCAAACUCUCACGAUUCUCGUAAUUCGGAAACCACGAAGCGGUGCGGUUCGUGCCGGCUUGGUGCAAGUCUAACUUAAACACACACACACACACACACACACACACACACACACACCACACACACACAAAGCCUCCUGGCGGCUUCCUCGGCGCGCACCCCCACCCCGCACUCCAACAGCCCACACUUUUCCCUGCACCGAAAUUCACUUUACUACUUAAAAUUCGGAAAACUCCGCCGCCGCUUGGACGCGCGGCAACCCAGAGGCUGCUUAAAGCUCUUGCACGAGUUGCUUGAGGGAGAUCACUCUGCUCUUGCGAGCACACAGAAUCUCUGUAUCUUAAAACAGCCUAACCCGACGAGGAAGCAGAGUUAGCGGUGACAAUCUGAGUAGUCUUUGCAGCCCGUUGGGGGAAUUUUCGGAGCCUGGGGGACAGCGGGCUUGUCUCGCUGGAACCGGUGGGAAGGACGGUUCCGGCCGGGCCCUGGGGCUGGAAGUCUCAUUUGGGGAGCGCACAGCCCGGGUUUGGCGCGCGCGUUUAAUUACGUUCUUUAGGGCAAACUCUCCCGCACAGCCUGCGCCGACAUUACUUCUGGGGGGAUGUGGAGGCACAGGCUGGACUAAGCCGGGAAAUCCCCCCUUCCCCAGACUCGGAAACCACUCCGCAUUUUGUCUCCGAUGCGGGUUUCUGCUCUUUGAUAGCGAACUGCACUCAAUGUGGGGAGCAGUGGGACUUGGGAGAGGCCCUACCGACGGGCCCGUUUGGGGUCCGAGGGUAGGGAAACUCUUUCUCCGUGAUUGGGGGUACGGCGGCGCUUUAUUUCUCGGGGCAUGCGCUCACAUUUUCCACGGUCGCAACGCACUCGGCUUAAAACGAAAUGGGGACAAAUAUGAGGCCACUGCAGGGAAGGAGGGGGGUAAGCCUCAUCUUGCUUAGGAUACUCGUUCUGACAGCGAAAACUGCCGGGCUGCGCCGAAGAGCGAGAAUUUAUUAAUGAGAAUUUAUUGCACAGGAACGAGAGUUGAGACUUCGAGCUAAAAGACGGCUCAGGACGCUUCCCGCGCGGCAGUCUUUUAUGAUCCUGCCGCAUUAGUCUGUUCUGCCCCUAAGUCACACCCCUAUUCCCAGUCUUAAGUGGCAUUUCCCUUCCCAGUGUGCCUCUUUCCUGUGCCCACUCGUCCGGGGCUUCGUGUUGCCCAGGACCUCUCGGCGUCUGGAAAAACUCUCGCAAACUUGUCCUUCGCCCAGUGCGUAUGCGCGGGUGGGCUCUCCCCGCGCCGCCGCGCCGCAGCCCCGGACCCUCCGGGGCCUGGGAAACCCGGUGCAUUUUCCAGCGCUCAGCCUCUGCGCUCCUGUUUUAUUUCAGUUCAAUCCCAGGGGCACGGACCCAAGGAUAAUAAACAAUGCUGCUUAUUAGAGAUACAAACGGGCGCAGAAAAGAACCACGCGGAAAAGCAAGCACAGAGACAUUUUAACAAGUGGCCAUGCAUUCAGAACUGUCUUUGAAAGUGACUUGUAAUGUACAAUGGGAGGGAGCGCCUCUCCAAAAUUACAGAAAUUCUCAGAAUGUAGGUUUGUCAAAGGAUGAUGGCCGGAGCUAUUUUUAUUUAUUUGGUUUUGCCUCUGGAAAUCAGGCGGAGUUGUUGCUACCUGCCCAAGCCUCUCUACAAGCCGCCUCCCCCUCCCUUAUCCCCCUCUUAGAUCGCUAGGCCUCACACACAAAAAAGGGAGGGGUCUUCCAGGUGUGGGCAUCCUUUGCUACCGUUAUUUCAGAUCCCUCAAGGGUUGAAAACACUGCCUCCCCUUUAGGCAGUGACAACACGGGCUUUGGGGGAAGAUGUCAUCGUAACGGGUGUGGUCAACUAAUUCAGAGAUAUGGGGGAUUUUUUUUUUUUUUGUAUAUAUAUAAACGCAGAUACCUUGUGAGUGUUGACCCUGAGAGUGGAGGCUGGUGAUUCCUCCUGAGGUGCGGGUGAAACCGAUUUCUGCCCUGCCUGAUGGCCUUGGGAAAGGGCCUCCCAUCUGCUCUGAUCGCCUCCACCCCUUCCAAUGUCAGAAAACCUUCCUGCCUGCAAAUAUUGGCACUUCGCUACUACUGACAGGCGGUGCUGCUUUAAAUAGGAAGAAGACCGCGGGGCGAAAAGAAAGUCACAACCUUCCUACCCACCAGACUACCUGCCUCCGGUCCCCAAAGGCCAAGCGCUGGCAAAAGAGACUUACAGGGAAAACCUCCGAUUUCGGAGCUGGAUGGGAAAUGAAUCAGUUGUGUGUUCCAGGAACAAAAUCUCUCUUUGAUUCUCAGGAACUGGGGGGCCCCGGAACAGGUCUCCCCUGUUUCAGUGCCCGAGCGCCUGCACUUCCUAUGACCCUGUCUCUCCACUUUUCCAUUGUUGUUGUUCAGAUAAAGGUAAAGGCUGGGGGAGCUUCAGCGGUGCUUCAGUUCAGUCCGCCUGGGCAGCAAGUUCCUCUUGACUUUAUCCAGAGUGCGGCUGUGCUUCUGGCGGUGCCAGGGGUGGGUCUGGUCUCACCACAGCUAGCCCCGCACCCCACACAGAACUCUCAGCCUCUGGACCUGCCUGGGGCUGGCUCUGGCUGGGUCUGGGGCCUCUCUUUUGAAAUGCACCCCUCUGCCAAGCAGGGGCAUCUCCUUGGAAAUGAUCAUGGGGCCAACUGCACCUGAGGAAUAGCCCAAACCUUCCCUCCCCAGCUCCUACCUAAGUUGCUGGCUUUACGUAGCGUUCAUGAAUUUUUGUUUCCUAACUUCAAUUCUGAAUGAUCUUCAGAACUAUUGAGCUGUCUACCUUAGAGGCCAGCUUCUCCUAGGAAGGGAAGGGUUUGUGCCCGAUGAGUUCAAGCUUGAGAGGCUGGCCUCUGCACAACUGUGGCUGCAUUUUAGAGGGGGCCUCAGGCAUUUUGGGUGCUGGACUUCUUCCCACCGUUUUCCGAUUCAAUUGGACGGUGCCUAGUAACUUUAUAGAGAAGGAAACUGAGGCACAGAGAAGGGACUGGGCUUACCAAGGGCAUACAGUGAACUGAGAGCAGAGUCUGCACCAGACCCCAGGUUUCCUGAUUUGAAGUCCGUUUGCCCCAGUUUUGAGGCUGGUGUAGCUAACAAGACACUACUGUUCAGGAAACAUCCACUGUGUGCCAGACCACUUAUUGUGCCAGACGCUUUACCUAGGUUGUCAUUACAGUAACCCUAAAGAGCAUUAUUAACCCCAAUAAAAAUUUGUAAAAAUUAUAAGAGUAACAUAUGCAUAAAUCAAAAUAUUUCAAAUAAUCCAAAAGGGCAUAAACUGAAAGUAAGUCUCUUCCUCUGCCCCCUCUUCCAGAAUAAUGCUGAUAUUUUUCAUUUCUUUAGUGGCUCUGUCCUUAUCUAAUAGACGUCACCGUUACCUUCUGAGUGAGGAGAGGGAGUGUCCCAAUCAGGAUAACCAGCUGUGGCUACCUGUCUCAGACCCAGCACCACCAUGACUGUCUACCUUAGGGAAGGUGAGGAGUGGGGAGAGACAGGGAGCGAGGCCACAGAUAAGAAGGCUCAAGUCAGAGUUCAUGUCACCCCUUCCUCUCCUCUCCACCUGCACCUGCUAAUGCUACAGUUUUCCGGGAGCUGAGACCAUAAGCUCUCUCGGUGCAGGUAACCUGAUGGCCAUUUGUGAGGGCUGCAUUCCUUCCAGGCCUCAUUGCAAAUGGACAAACAGCUUUCCUUGUGUCCCUGUCACCUAGCUGCUGUCACCCCAGUGCUGCCCGCAGCCUGUGCUAGCUCUGUCUGGGACUGGGGCAAGCUUCUUCAGCUUCAGAUUUCCCUGCCUGUUGCUCGGGGUUGUUGGGAGGCUCAAAUGAGAGACGGGGUGACAGGGGGUGGGAGGGGGGGGGGGUGGACUGUAAACUUGAAAUCUCUUUAUGUAAAUAGAGUCGCUGCUUUUCAAAGGUCUGGUUAGGACCCUGUGGCCCUUCAGUUCAAGAUGGUGAAUGUCCAGGGUUGUUUGCAAAAGGGUGUGCUUGGGGGAUAUGGGGAUUUGCCUUUGGGUGUUGUGCAUAUAGGAGCAGGUAUAGAAGUACAUCUUAAAGUGGAGGGGUUGUUCAUUUUUCCGUGAAACAUGGGAACACUGAGUCUUUGGGAUCAGGGGCUGCGGUGAAUAUGAAGAUUUCCUUCUGCGGGAGAACGCAGACAGCCAAGUUGGUGAGGGCAGAAGGAGGCACUUCCCGGCUUGGGGUGCACAGUGGGUGGGUAAGAAGCAUGGCUGAAGGGAUGAUUCAGCCUGUCCCUUUGGGUAGAUGUCCCCCACCAAAGGCUGAUGUUAGACGUUCAGGAGCAGAGAGGGUGAACGCUGGUAUAAGCUUCCCAGAACCGAUCAUUUCAUUGUUUGCAACUAUUUUUGUGAGUGGAAAGGAGAGGGAUUUUAGAGGAUGCAUGUGAUAAUUCUUUCAGGAAAAGCUAGUCCUGUCCUCGAGAGUUCCUCAUUCUGGAAGAAUUGCUAGAAAAUCCUGAAUUGGUGGCGGAGGGCAGCGGGGAGGGGGCUCCAAGUGAGAGCAAGUGACGGGCCCUGGCCGUGGGCUCCUCCAGAAGAGGAGCAGCUGGGGAGGGGCUGGUGUCUCUGAAAAGCGCUUCUAGAAACAUGCACAAGACCCUGCAGCAUGCACAGAUCUGAGAUGGUACAGAGGGAGAGUGUGAGCGUCCAGGAGGAAGAAAAAAACGGUUUUAAGAUGAAUGAGGGGGGUUGGGGAGUGGGCUGGUUCCAGAGAGAAACCGUGAAAGGAGGGAAAGUCAGAUUUUUUUUUUUUUUGAGGCCCAGCCAGACUUCAGACUUCAGAGAGCCUGCCUUCAAUGCCUGUGUCAGGACAAAGGAGGCUGCGCCCCCUGGUGUCAGACUGGCAGUCAGCACAGCUCGCUGCGGCAGAAACCUGAGGGUGGGGAAACCAGGGUCCAGCCAGAAAAGUCCACGGGUCGGUCAGAUGCCUUUUCUUCUGUUUGCUAAGGGAGUGGAAGUUGAAAUAGCCUUUGCUUUCUCAGAUCUGGGGUCUAAAUCGAGACUGUUUCAGAGAAGGAGGAUUUUUGUUGUUUUACAUGCAAGUUAAGUCAACAGGACAGUACCUGUUUCAAAGUAGCCUGGUGGGGUAGGAAGUCCACUGACCGGAGAGAAAAGACGUGCAUUUGAGGAAGAGUGUUGGUCUGGGGCGAGUCAUUAAAUAUUUCAGAGCCUCCCUUUCCUUGGCUUAGAACCAAAGGGGUUAGACUAAGAUGGCUUUUAAAGUUUUUCUCAAGCUCUAUCCAAUAUUGGGAUUUAUUCAUCGCCACACUCUUAUUCUCCGAGAACCUCGAAAUUUGGACCUCAUUAUUUUUCUUUUUCUUAUGGGCAUGCAGGUACAAAUGUUUCAGCAUGAGCUCCCUGAUUCUGAGCAAAGGUGUUUGUGUCCCCUUUUCUUUUAAAACGGCAAAAUAUGCCUCUUUUCAGCACGGAAGCCAUCCCUUCACCCUUUAUGGAGCCUCCUGCAAAAAGCAACAGAGUGAGGUCUCCAGUCUCUGCUCUGCUUCUUUUAAAACUAAAGUAGGAAAGUGUCGUGCUGGAAAUUAUGCCACUGAGUGUUACAUGUGGUAGGUGUGAAUAUAUGCUUCAACAGUUCCAGGCAUGAGACCAAAAACGUCCCCAGAAUUAGCAGAGUUUUCAGCUAUGAUCUGGCUAACAUUUCUACGAAUAGGUACAAAGACCAAUUUGAGAGUAUGUUCUCUCUAAGGGGCUGUCUGGUUGGGAUUCCGCUGGAAUUUAAGGCCAUCCCUUGGACGGUCAGGUGAUUUUAGCGCGAUCAGCCCCAGGAAAACUGCGGUAGGGGCUCAGAGUCCGCUCUCCUAAAACCCGCAAGUCGAAUCACUGCGAUGAGCGGUCAUUUGUACCUCACGGCAAUUGACUUCUUCCUUCUACACCGCACUUGAACUCUUAUCUCUGCCUAGUGGCUACCUUUGCUUUUUGCUUUUAAGCCACGGAUCGCAGGCCCGCGGAGAGGAUCACUUGGGUAGUCUUGCGGACGUGGAGGGUGCGCGAGGCCAUUGUCCUGCACCCCGCAGGGUCACUACUCCAUACACUACACGAGAGAACCGGUUCCUCCGUAAGGGAGAGGGGAUCAGGAGGAAGAGAAGCAGUACAACCGGAUGAGCCAUGGCAAGGGUUGGGGGCCAGAGACUCGGAGCACGGUGCUUCUCUGAAGUGAACAGCUGCAUUGUGGGCCGCGUCGACCUCCAAAGUUCAUAGGUUGAAGGCCUAGCCGCCGGGACUGCGGGCUACGACUGCAUGUGGACAUAGGGCCUUCAAAGAUGCUCUUAAGUGAAAAGGAGGCCGUUAGGGCAGCUCUAACUGGUGUGACCGGGGAAGUCCUCGUAAGAAGAGGAGAUUAGGACAACAGCCAGGUGCUGUGGGAAGACCACACGAAGACACUCCAAGAAGGCGGCCGCCUGUGGGUGGGCAAGCCAAGGGACGGCGCCUGGAAGAAAGGGACUCUACCGACACCUUGUUCUCAGACUUCUGGCCCCCAGACUUGCGAGGAAAUAAAUUCCUGUCUUCUAUGCCACUCAGUCUAUGGUACUUUGUCACGGUGGCCCUAGCAAAUGACUCUAGGUCGUAACUUGGCGCCCGCCAAUCUUGUGGACCCAUUCAGGGAUGCAGCCCGGAGUCACCGAUGUUUUUAGUGUUUAAGAGAGGUUAAGAAUCUUUUGCUUUUGAAACGUUGGGAGCAGGGUGCAUUUCACGAACACGCAACCGGCGCGGUCACGCGGCACCCCACGCUUGGCCCAGGAAGGGCCAGGUGCUCUGGCUGAAUGUUCUGCUAUGGCCAUGUGGAAAUUCGUGGAUUUGAAGAAGGGCCUGCAUUUUUGUGUUGCAUGGGGCGCAACAAACCACGCGGUUAGUCCUUGUUGACAGCUAACACAAACUUAAAAUACAGUGCUGGUUAAGAGUAUGAGGGCCGAAACAAAAUAGGUCCGAGGCUGGGUGUAGCGUGGGACACUGGUAAGAACUUUGUGUCACCAGUUGGAUACAGAGAAUCCUUCCAGUCUCUGGGGCACCUGGGCGGCUCACUCGGUGACCCUUGAUGUUGUCUCAAGUCAUGAUUCAUGGGAUCGAGCCCCAUGUCGGGCUCUGUGCCGACAAUGUGGAGCCUUCGUGGGAUUCUCUCUCUCCCUCUCUCUCUGCCCUUCCCCCCCCACUCAUGUGCUCUCUUUCUCUCUAAAAUAAAUAAAUAUUAGGGGGCACCUGGGCAGCUCAGUCGGUUAAGCAUCUGACUUUGGCUCAGGUCAUGAUCUCACGGUUUGUGAGUUCGAGCCCCACGUAGGGCUCUGUGCUGACAGCUCUGCUCUCUGCCCCUCCCCCCGAUUGUGCUCUGUCUCUCUCUCUCUCUGUCUCUCAAAAAUAAAUAAAUAUUUUAAAAAAUUUUAAUAAAUGACCCCAAAAAAGUCCUCCCAUUUCUCUGAGAACCCCUGGGGAAGAAUUUAUGGGACCCAGAGAUUUUCUGGGGGUGGGAGGAAAGGCACAGAUAUUCUGCAGGUUUGAUUCCCUGGGAUUCUGCAUGAGCUAGUGUGGCCCUAAGAUCCCGCCCCUCCCUUCCCCCCCCCCCCCCCCCCCCCCCCCCCCCCCCGCCCCAGGGAUGGGCAGUGAGAACUUCACAAUAGGAAUACUUUGAGGAAAGGCCCAACAUAAGGAGCUAAAUGUUUGGUUUGGGGGAGGGGGCUGGGUUGGGCCCUGCGUACGGCUGAUGCUGGAAGCUUUUCCAGAGUCAUCCAUCCAGGCACUGGAGUUGGGCUUUGGAAACCGCGUAUGCUUGUUCCCCAGUAUGAACAGUAGGACUCUGAGGGGCAGUGCAGCCCAAUGUCAAGGCAGCAUGGAGACACGGCGGUGAGAGAGGAACAGCGGUGAGAGAGGACUGGCUAGACUCCAGCUUCCUGCCUGUGGUGUGUGACCAGGAUUCUCGCUUUGGAGCCAGUCAGCCCCAGGAUUCUUGAGGGGUUCUCUGUUGGGCCGAGCUGCAAGAGAGAGCCCUGGCCUGUUUUAAGGCAGACCCGAGCACUUAAUUGGAAGUAAAUAAUAGACUUCCAUUUCAUGGUGUGUGCCAUAGUAGUUGAUUCUAAUUUGGAAGGGGCAAGCUGUGCCCCUGAUGAAAGGAAUGUAGUCAUCAGGGCUAGAGUCAUGGGGAUAUUAUGGGGAUAUUACGGGGAGAUCCUGUGUUUAAGGAUAUGCACUGAUUUAUAGAAGCUCACUGAAAAUAUUAUAGUGGAAUGUUUGGUCAGGAGGUCUGCUUUUUUGGUUCUAUUUCUGCCCAGUAUUGGAGAACGGGUGAGUGUAAAUUUUAAAAGAAGUAAUUUCUUAUGCACAUUUGUGCAAACUCCCUAAGGGGAAUCAGUGAAAGACUGUUUGAGACACUGGAUUUCUUGGAAGAAAGUUGCUACAUAAAUUAGUGGAGAGCUUUUUUUUUUUUCCAUGGCAGGUUUGCAGGACCCUCUAAAGAACCCUCCCAUCAUGGAAGGGAGAAAAUGAAACUCUCUACCAGCGUCUAUUAGGGAAGCUAAAUUUCUCUCUUUCCGGCAAGUUUCCCAAACCUCGUGACUCUCAUUUCCAGACCAAAGAGUAAGGUUUUAUUUUUAUUAUUCUUUAUACUUGGCAUAUGGAGGAGAGUCCCACAAUGGGGCAGGCCAGACUUAGGUACCCCAGGGGGAAUUCAGACACACCUACACAGUGCACCCCAAGCCAGCUCCUCCUUUCUCCUGACAGACAGUGCCCUCCUUCUCCCUGAAGUGUAUGAACAGGACUCCCCCUCAGAGCUGAGCCAGACCCUGGAUUCUCAAGGGCUUGGGUGAGUGGCCCAAUAUUUAAGAUGAUUGAAAUUCUAUGUGUGGUGUUUCUGAUUUAAUUCCUCAAUGACAGUUCCCUUAAACAUGUGGGAAAUAAGAAACCUCACUGAAAAUUUUAAUCUAAAAGACCAUUCGAUUCGGAGAAAUGAAACUACGUCCACAUCAAAGCUUGUGUUUUAAAACAAGUUUUAAAUGAAUGUUGACAACAGCAUUAUUCACAAUGGCCAAAAAGGGGAGACAAUCCGAAUGUCCAUCAACUAAUGAAUGGGUGAACAAAAAUGCGGUACAUUCACACAAUGGAAUACUAUUUGGCAAUAAAAAGGUAUGGAGUAUUGUUACAUGCUACACUGAUGAACCUUAAAACAUGCUAAGUGAAAGAAGCCAGUCACAAAGGCACCCAUAACGUAUGAUUUCAUUUGUGUGAAAUUCCUAGAGUAGACAAAUCUACAGACACGGAAAAUAGAUUAGUGAUUGCCGAGGGCUGGGGGUCAGAGUCCAGGCAUUGAAAGAUGACAGCACAAUAGGACAGGGUUUCUUUGUGAGGCUAGGAAAAUGUUCCACAAUUAAUUCAUCGUGGUGGAGAAUGAACAACUCCGAAGAGGUAUCAAAAAACACUGAAUUCUGGGGCGCCUGGGUGGCUCACUCAGUUAAGCGUCUGACUUCGACUCAGGUCAUGAUCUCACAGUUCGUGGGUUGAGCGUCGUGUCGGGCUCUGAGCUGACAGCUCAGAGCCUGGAGCCUGCUUCGGAUUCUCAGUCUCCCUCUUUCUGCCCCUCCCUUGCUCGUGCUCUCUCUCUCUCUCUCUCUCUCUCUCUCAAAAAUAAACAUUAAAAAGAAAAACACUGAAUUUUGCAUUUUGAAUGGAUGAAUUCCAUCAUGUGCAAAUUAUGUCUCAAUAAAAUUGUUAAAAUUGUUUAAAAGAAAUGAUACUUUUAAAAAGACCAUUGGUUUAUGUCUCUUUUUCUGAAGCUGAUUCCCUUGGGAUGCAGGUAUCCAGGCUGAAAACCGGAUUUUAUGAGCUGAGGAAGAUGACAAUGUGAAAAAUGGCGAUUUUCCCUUAGGCAGAGAUCUGAUUUGCAGAUCCCUUCGUACCCACAAUGCUUGUGGCUACAGCUGCUUUGAACUUUGCUGAAAGGAUUUUUCUUAGCUUGAAAUCAUUAAAAUAGGUUUAAACGGCACUGAAGUGGCUUUAUUGUUGUUAUCUAUUCCUUUCCCUCCCUUUAAGUAAUAGCACCCCAAUAUCCUCUUAAGGAACCACCCACCUCGUUUUCAGUUCAUGUGGUUUGAAUCUUGCUGACCCUACGCCUUAGGCUCUAUGAGUCAGGCCUGACCAAUCAGCACAUUUCAUCCAGUGGUGUGUCAGAGCUGGCUCAUCCCAGCUUAUUCGAACCAACUGGUAAAUUUUUAGGAACUUUGUGAGCCAGUUGCUAAAUAUGAUCACUAUUAAAAUUUUAAGUACAUAAAUUUAUAAUUAAAUACAUUAUACUUAAAAUGGAGUUAUUAGGCACUCAAAACUCAUCGCCUCCUAAUUAUUUGAAUACAUUCUACUAUUACCUGUUCUCCUGAGGUUACUUACAUCUAUCAGAUCUGCAUGAUUUAAGUGCACCCCUGUGUGUCUCUUUUCAACCCCAUGUUCAGUGACUUCCUGUCAGCAGCUUGGCCUCGGCCAUGGGCAGUGUUUAUACAUCACAACUAUGUAAAUGCUGUAUAUCAGGGCUUCUUCUUUCCUGUCAAGGAGAGUGUCAAUCAUCUGCCAGCUGUAGUGGCUUAAAUAGUACCCCCCCCCCAAAAAAAAGAGGUUUGUGUCCAAACCGGGGUAGUUGUGAAUAUAACUUUGUUUGGGAAAGGGAUCUUUGCAACUGUGUUUAAGAUAAGCGUCUUGAGCUGAGAGCAUCCUGGAUUAUCACACGUGUCCUUAUAAGAAGAGGCAGGGGAGUUCAACACACACACAGAUAAUACAAGGAGGCAAUGAGACCAGAGAGAUUGACUGAAGGAGUGCAGCCAUAAGCCAAGGGAUGCCUGCAGCUGCUAGAAUCUGGAAGAGGCAUGAAACAGAAUCUCCCCUGGAACCUCUAGAGGGAGCACAGCCUUGCUGACACCUUGACUUUGGAGGGUUAGCCUCCAGAAAUAUGCAAGAAUAAAUUUCUGUUUUGAAGCCACCCAGUCUGUGAUAAUUUGUGAUGGCAGCCACAGAAAACUAGCCUACUGGCACCCACUGGGGUACUAUUGUACGACCAGGGAUGGGCAUGUUACCCCAGUUAGGACAAUGGGAGGUCAGCUCCGUGAAAGAAACCAUCUCCUUCUACUAGGGGUUGCCAAAUGGUGCCAUUUUUGCCACCAUAUUUGCCUAAGAAUGAAAACAGCACAGAAAGUUGUCAAGUAGACAUCUGGAGAGAGAGAGAGAGAGAGAGAGAGAGAGAGAGAAAGAUCCCAGAACGAUGUUGUUUGAGAAGCUGGACCUAGUCUACUACUGGAAUUCUCUAUUGCAUGAAUGCAUUAAUUUCUUUUCUUUUUAAACCAAGUUCCUGACCGAUAUACACAUGUGAAUUUUAGGGAACAUUUGAAAGUGUUCUUUUGCACGGACAGGGUUGUAAAUACACACGGUUGCUAUCAUUUGAUCAGUUAUUACUGAAAUCAGGCAUAACUAACAAAGACAAUCAGGGAAACAUAUAACAAACAGUGAACAAUCUGAGAUCUACCUGAAUUCGAUCGUGUUCAUUUGUUCCACAAACACUUACUGAGCCCAACCAUGUUUAAAGUGUUCUACUCAGGGCACAUAUCCAUACAUUUAACAGCUUACAACUUAUUUGCCAGUAAGGAGUUUAGGACAGCUCACAUUACUGAGGUCACCAGCAGUAUUAAUUUUUCAUGACAUAGCCCAUAUUUUUCUGGACAGUACUAAAUUCAUAUAAUUUCCUUAUUUUUCCUAAAGAGAAUUUGUUUAAUGUACAAUGAAAAUAUUCUAACUUCUUUACGAGAUUCCAUUUAAGCACAUUCACAAAUCAUAAAAAAAAAAAAAAACUUUUGGCAAAUUGAAUAUUUUAAGUUGGGAAUUAUUCUUCUGGUGAUUUUCAAUGACACUGUGCCUUUGCUAAUUUUGUACUUCUCCAGAAUUUUUAUUCUCCAUUAUCUUAGUAAUUUGUUAGCAUGGAUAGGCACAUUUCUGAACGGAGGGUGUCACAGGAAAUCCCAGAGAUAGACAUACUGUAUUGAAUAUUUUUAAAAUAAAAGGAAAAUCUUUUUACACCCAGAAUGUCUACCUUUAUUUUUUUUAGUUCAGGAGAUUUAAAAUUAAUUCUGCCCCCAUAAUUCUAUUUUUUUCUCAUACCUUUCAAAUAGCUUUUUUUUUUUUUAUGAGCACAUUCUUCAUGUUGGAUGAAUUCCCAGCCAACUUUUUAAAUCUAAUUAAACUCACCUAAGUUUAACUCAGAUAGCAUUUGCGGUUAAUUUCUUAAUGGUUGAUAAACUGGAAACCCAUCUUUGGAACUUAUUAAAAAAAAAAAAAAGAGGUUCCUGAAGGUUGCUUAUUGCUAAAAGAGUCCGUUGCUAAUAAUGAUGUCACAAACAUCAAUAAACUAAUGCCCAUUUGUCUGGACUUAAAAUAGAAUAAACUUUCAAAUGCAAAUAUCCAGGGGCAUCUGGGUGGCUCAGACUUCAGACUUCAGCUCAGUUCAUGAUCUCACAGUUUGUGGGUUGGAGCCCCAUGUUGGGCUCAGUGCUGACAGCUCGGAGCCUGGAGACUACUUUGUAUUCUAUGUCUCCCUCUUUCUUUGCCCCUCCCCAGCUCACACUGUCUCUCUCUCUCUCUCUCUCUCUCUCUUUCUCUCUCUCAAAAAUAAGCAAACAUUAAAAAAAUGCAAAUAUCCAAAUAUUAUAUUAUUCUUUUACACUUUAUAUUUGCUUAUAGCUUUGCUUGUCAAAGAAAGAAUUGUUCUGAGUAUUUUCAAGGCAAAAGUAACAACAACAACAAACAAAUCCAUAAACAAACACAUAAGGAACAAGCAAGCAAACACACACACAAGCACACACACGUGAGGCAUAGGGAAUAAGAGAUUUCACUAGGACAUACAGCAGACAUUAAUGAAGCAACAAUAAUUCAAGUCUACUCUCCUUCCAGUCUGGAACAAUCCUGUUUGCUAUGAAAAAGUAGCCACCAAAAUCUUUUGGGAGAUUAGCAUCAUUAUCAAUACGGAUUUCAAGGAAAACGUGAACAACAUAAAAACUUAGCUUUCAGAUUCCCCAUUUUUAUAGCCCCAUAAAACCUAAAAUAAAAAUUGGGAGCACAUCCAGUUUAUCAAAGAAAGGUCAACAACAGACUCAAAAUAAAAGUUUAGGAAGUCACUUUCUAUUAACAAAAGCAGCUUUUAAAUAUUACUUUUUCCUGAUAAUUCUGGCUGAGAAGAACCCAAGCAAGUUAGCUUUUAUCCCUAAGGCCAAAAAGAAACUCACCACCAAAGUGGAAAUACAAGGCACCGGAAAAAAUCAGUGAUUUGUUCCCUGAUGGCAACUUUAUGCCAGAGACACAAGAGUUUCUUUACACGAACUUGUUUUCUUCAUGUGGAAAACACUGAUAGAAAUCUAGGUGAAUGGAUAUAAUUAAGUAGUUGUGUGGCUCCAACUCUAAAAUGCUUUUUUUUUUUUUUUUUUCUUUCCAUCAAACACCUCAGCGCUUGCCCAGUAACGAGACGAGAGGAACAGCCUUCUAAGAGUGAAGCCCUCAAGACGUUUCCAAGCUGCCUGGACAAAGGCUUGGAAUGACUACAAUGGUGAACCAUCCUGCCUUGGACCUGAAUCUAGAUCGAUGACCUAAUACAUCUUUUCCAACUCUGACUGCCAUGGUUUUAUGAGCAUCAAGGACUGGGCGUCUGCCAUUGUCAACAAGUAAGGCCUCUCCAGAGCUUGAACAUCCACAGAAACCCAAGUACCCCCCUCCCUCCCGAAAAGCACAGAUCGCCCAGUCUCCCAGGGCUCUGCGUGCUGCCUCUAGCUUUCACGUGUGACACAGAAACUCCUCUUUGGCAGGAUUAAUUCUUAAAUAAAGGAAGUGUGUCCGUUACUCUCCCCUGUUAUCUUGGUUUAAGAACUCUGAGUCAGAGCAGAUCUCUGAGAAACUAAUUAAGCUUAGCUUAAGGGCCUCUCUUUUUCAGGGGCCCUUCCAAAGGGCUGUACCUAAUUUUGUAUUUGUAAUUUUGCAUUCUUUUUAAAGUUAUUUCUUUACUUAUUUUUGAGAGAGAGCUCAAGUGGGGGAGGGGCAGAGAGAGAGAGAGAGAGAGAGAGAGAGAAUCCCAAGCAGGUUCCGCGAUGCCAGUGCAGGCCUGGACUUGGGGCUGGAACCCACCAACCUCAAGAUCAGGACCUGAGCGGAAGUCAGAGGCUUAACCAACUGCACCACUCAGGCACCCUGGUCACUUUGCAUUCUUUUUAAUAAAAAGUCCCCUUCAUUGUAUAAACUAUAGCCCUCCCGCCCCAUCCCAGGCGAU